AUAAAAUGAAGGAAUAUUUUAUUUAGUACCACUUGAUGAAUCUUCUCGACUCAUCAUAUAUCAUAUCCUAUAAUUCUUCACCAAAGUACUUCGUCUCAUGGUUUACUGAAUAUCUACCUUAACUUUCGUUCUCCAUUCUACUAAGGUUAUAACCUAGGUUUCGCAUUCCUAGCGUUUAUAACCUACAGCUUUGAUACCAACCUGUGGCGACCCCAAAUCCGGAUACUUGAAACCCGAACUCGGUUCUCCACGAUACCAUUUCUUUAAGCUGAAUAAUACUAAAUAAUAAUACAUUCGAACUUAAUUUACAUACAUCAAAGUUUACUUCCCCAGGUACGUGACCUUCAAAUACAUUCCUUACAAUACUUGAAUAGAUACCAAUACAACUAUAACCAUUAACUCAUAAUACACACUUAUUCGAUCAGCUUUCCUUUUCCUUUGUUCGUGCCUGAGCCUUCAGGUUGCUCAUACAUAACUGAAAACAUUUAAUUUAAGCAAGGAUGAGCAUUUGAGUGCCCAGCAAGUAAUAGCAAUUAUAUAUAUAAGCUGAAAGAAUAUAAGUAUUCUCUUUACAUAACACUUCUACAACGAAUCAAAAGUUGUGAAGUAAUCUGUACUGAUAAAAGAUUCACAUAACAACUCUCUUUCAAUUUCUUGAAAUUAGGCUCCACCCAUGAAUAGGGUUUAAGAAACAUACUAUGAACAUUGUUUUUCAUUUUCGAAAAGGUUUAGCAGAAAUUCAUCCGCAAACCGUCAUAACUUACGGGCACGGAGGGUGAUCAGCCCCGUUGUACCCUGUAUUGAUCAAUACUACAUAACUUGAACGAAAUUCAUCGCUCACUCUAUCCGCCUUGGGCGCAAAAAUCUUCCCAUAUAGGGAUGUUCAUACAUGCCUGGUUCCAAACCCGAAGGUUUUUAAUCUUGCUCAACAAUAAUAUGUAAUUCAACAUAUAUGUAUACGGGUAAUUGACAAAGGUAUAUCAACAUGUGAAUAAAUGCCAUGAUUAUCCAAGUGGGGACACUUGUAUAACCAUUUAGAAAUCAACUUAACAGAAUAUAUAUCUGAGCUAACAUGUUGAUAAUCAAAGCGUACAUAAUCUGUACAGGAAUAGAAUAAUUCUGAAACUUCUUACUCAUGUCCAUUGCAUAAAGGAAAUGCAAAGGUAAGAUACUUGCCUGAUUCGCUGAUUACAAAUCUCAACUUAGGUUUUAUCUCUUUAUCACAACCUAUCAAUAAUCAGAUCAUUCGUUCGAUUAGAACAAUAUAUCAUAACACAUAGUACUGUCUAUUACAGUCAGCACAUAGUCUAAUCACGUCAUCACAUAAUCGCAGUGAUCAUACUUUUAGUUCAUAUUCUAUACUUGAAAUAUUUUUAUACAUUUUUCAAAUAUCUCAUCCAUGCUCUUACAGAAGUCUUUUCUUUCUAUUAUAGGGUCUGACAUUUGUCGGCGUACCGACAGCUUUAUCGGGUAAAUACUGAGUCUAAGACUCUUAUCCUAUACCUCAACAUCUGUAAAUAUCAAACAUUUUAUUUUUAAUCAUUUUCGAAUUUUCCAGAAAUUGAAAAAUUUAAAAUAAUUCAAAUCUGUCACUACCGGGCCUAUAGUGAUAUAACUGUUACUAUAGGUGUUCCUCAAAACUUCAUAACUUCAUAAUCGGUUCUCAAGUCAGCUAGUUUGGCCGGCUAUAACUUUCAAACAUCGGAAUCAUAAUUAAAUGAUUUAAACAUUAAACAAUUCCAUUAUCAUUAAUAAUUAAUUUAUAUUAAACUAUUAAUGAAACCAUUGCCAAAAUAUAAAAGUUAUUUAUAAUAACUCAAACUAUUUUUAAAACAUUUAUAUUACCCUUAAAUGAUUUUUAAAACAAUUAAAAUCAUUUUUAAAUAAUCACCAUUAAUAUAUAAAUAUUAAUGUACUAUUCAUCCAAAUAUUAAAAGUCAUUAAUUAUAACUUAAAAUAUUUUUAAAUCCUUAAUAUCCUCUUUAAAUGAUUUUUAAAUAAAUAAAACCAUUUUUAAACUAUUUAUUUAAUAAUAAUUAUUAAAUAAACUAAAUAUCAUUAAUAUUAUCUUAAUAUCAUUAAUAUUAAAUUAUUAAUGAAAUUAUCCUUUAAAUAUUAAAAGUUAUAUUUUAUAACUUAAAAUAUUUUUAAAUACCUUAAUUUCAUUUAAAAUGAUUUUUAUAAUAUUAAAAUCAUUUUUAAACUAAAUUAUUUAAUAUAAUCAUUAAAUAACUUUAAUAUCAUUAAUAUAUAAUUAAUUAAUGAAAUUCAUCACAAAAUAUUAAAAGUCAUGGAAAAUAACUUAAAAUAUUUUCUUAUACCAUAAAAUAAUUUUUCAUGAUUUUUCAUGAAUUAAAACUAUUUUUAAAUUAUUUAUUUAAUAUUAUAAUUAAAUAAAUAAUUAUUUUUUAUAUUCCAAAAAUAUUAAAUAUGUAUGAAAUAUACUCAAAAUAAUUAAAAACUAUUUUUCGGACUUUAAAAUAAUUUUUCAGAAUUUAAUAAGUAUUUUUAAUAAUUAAAAUCUAAUUUUUCUAAUUUUUAAAUCAUUUUCGGAAAUUACAGAAAAUAAAAUAAAUAAAAUCUGUCGCUAAAGGCUAUUGCGACAGACAACCGUCGUUAUAGGUGUUAUUCAUCUCAAGAACACUGUCAGAGACAGUUCAAGGGGGGCUACUUUGACCAUGAAUAACGUUUUGGUCUUAAUGAAUCUGGGCAAUCUAUGAAUUGGGUCUUGUAGAGGAAAUACCAGACUACAAUUACCAACAAUCAUUACCUCAAAUAAACAUCAGAUCUGAGAGAAAUCGUACCUCAAAUUAGCUGUCAGAGCUGUUCUUCGUGAAGAACAGUUCGUGAUGCCUACUUUGGACCUCUAUAACUUGACGAUCAUGUAACGUUUACGUGAUCUCUCAAUUCUAGUGUGUAGAAAACAUGUAGGAUUACAACUCUAACACUUAAAAAUAAUCAUAAAAACAAUAAAUAAAGCAUCUAAAGUAUGGUCAAACCUUAUCAAAAAAACAACACUUAGAAAAUUCUGGGCUGCCCAGAAUUUUUCGGUCAAUGCCGGUCAACCCACUUUGACCUUAAAUAACUCUUAAUCCAUAAUAUAUAUGGACCUAAUUCGUUUUGGAUCCUAAAUUCCACAUAACAGAAUACACAUAUCAACUUUCAAAAUACAAAACGCAUUAACGAUCACCGAGAUAUAAGGCCUGACAUUUGCCAAAAAAUAUUUUCUGGACACUUAGAAUAUUUUCUGGGUUUGAAGAACAGCCGGUCAAUGCUGGUCAACCCACUUUGACCUUAAAUAACUUUUGAUCCAUAAUAGAUAUAGACCUGAUUCCUUUUGGAGGUUAAAUACCACAUAACAAGCUACACCUAACAACGUUUAAACAACAAAUAUCAUGAUCGAGAAAAGAGUUAUAAGGCUUGACAUUUGCCCAAAAAUCACAGAAUUCAGUUUUUCCAACUUGCUUAAAUCUUUGAUUUUGAGCACUUUGAUGUUAUGGGUCUGUGUUUUUACAACCCAGAACAUCAAUAGACUCCUUAUUACACAACUUUAAAUAAUCAAUUGCAUUAAUUAACAUCGAAUCGAAGGAUUUCUAGAAUUUAGGGUUUCCUACCUUUUCAAGCUUGGUUUUUGAUUUCUGACUUCUGGAUGCUUCUGAUUUGUGGUUUGUGAUGGCUGGGCUUUGAUUAAGAGCUUAUGGGUAAGAGAAUUUCGGAGCUAAGAGGUUGAGAGAGCAUAGCUAGAAGAGUUGGGCAAUUUUAGUGUACAAGAAUGCUAACUCUCUCCAAUCUAUUUAUAGAAUAAUUCAAAUGCCUUGGAUGCUAGAUUGGUUGAUUUAAUCUGAGCAUAAUUGAGUCUUGGAUGCUCAAUUGGUAGGGUAGGGAUGUUGGCCAUGAUUUUUGGCAAGAUUCCAUCAACAAUGUAACUAAUAAUACACUAAUAAACCAAAAAGGGUAUUUUGAUAAUUUCACAUAUAAUUUCAAGGGGCCCAUUCUUGUACAUAGCAAUUAAAUGUAGUAUUUAAUCACUAGAUGGUAAUUCUUAUCAUUUACCAAUUACUUUUAUCCUUUGGUAAAUUAAAACUUUUAUACAUUAACAUCGUAAUUAAACCCAAUAAUUUUAAAUUAGGGUUUUGAUUAAAAAAUUAGGGUUUUCUAAUUAGGGUUUCUUAACGCCAUCAAUUAGGGUUUCUAAUUGACUAUUAGGGUUCUCUAAUUAUCUGUGUAUAUUCUAACACAGUCAUUACGAUCUCUAACUUCAACCGAUUAGGGUUGUAAUAAUUAGGGUUUGUCCUAAUUAUCGACAAAAAAUAGUAAUUAGGGUUUUCUUCUAAUUACCGACAUCUUAUACACAGUAACCUGCAUAUACACAGUCACUACUCAGUCAUAUCUCGUAACUGAGUUUAAUAAUUAGGGUUUCACAGCACGGUAAUAUGCUAUGACCGUCAUUGCACCAUUUUAUCUGUCCGCACAUACACAGUACAUAAUUAUGGUACUGUAAAAUUAUUAUAACAAUAAUAUAAUAUUAUUAUUCUCAUCUCUUGAUCACAAUCCCAAUUCAGGGUUUGGAUCUCAUAUCUAACUUAUUCUUCGUACACAACAUCGAUAAUCAAGUUAAAACAAUUAACUUAAAUAUUCUGAACAAAUCAUAUAAUAAAAUAUUUAUUAUAUAAUUCUAAUUAUCACUUCAUAUAUUAUUUCCAAUCAUGUUAUCAUGGAAAAUAAUUAAUAAAAAUAUUUCUGCUUGGAGAAAUUAAUUACCAUAAAAAUAUAAUUUGUAGUAAUUAAUAAUUCUAAAAUUAUUUCUAAUUUUUCAAGUAAUAAAUAUAUUCGUAUUUAUCGUUCACAUUACUAGACACUUAUUCUCGUCAUUAAAUAAAUAAAAAAAAAUUAUACAGGAAAUUUCUUAUUUAUUUUAUAUAGGAAAUCUCGGGUUAUUACAUGAUGCUUCUGACAUAAGACAGAUGACACUCUACUAUCCAAAUCGUAGUGUCUUGUCAUAUUGGUGUUGGUCCUCAAGAGAACACUACGAUUGCUCACACUAUGGUCUUUUAAAACGACAAUCAUCACUUGCUCGUUCUGCAGACUCAACAUUUCUGAGAACACACUACGAUCUCUUAGUUAGCUCGGCAGACGUCUGGAUCACUCUACGAUUUCUAGAGAGGUCCACAAUGUAGAUACACUACUAUCACUUCAGCACUACGGUCUUACCUUGCCUUUUGCAUUCUGUUGAUCAGCCAGAUAGACUACAAUUCUUUUCAAGGCCUAUAUAUAUCUUUCUAGCCACAGAUCAAUCCUAACAAAUUUGAUCUCUUUAUCUAUGCAAGUGAAUAUUAAAGGUUAAGAUCAACCUAACAACUUUGAUCUGUCACUAAGUCCUUGUACAUAUAUUCAUGGAAGGACUAUACACAAAAUCAAGAGUAUUAAACAUCAAAUCACAAUAUGCAUUCUUCCAACAAUCUCCCCCUAUUUGAUAUUGACAUAACCAAGGAGAUUUGUUGUCAUGAUUAUUAAAUUCUAUAUGCAGUUGCAGAAAAAGUAAACAUGACUUAAUAUUUCAGUGAGCAGCGGAAAUUUCUAGAGAGUAAGCAUGAAUUUAUUGAUGUAUAAGGAUAGAUGUUACAUUUGAGAUUAAUUACAUCAAUAAGAAUUGAAAUUCAACUUAUCUCUAUUUCCUUUGCCUUUUGCUCCUUGGAGGGUUUGCCUUUUCCUCUGCUCUCCUUUUUCUGCUGGCUUCAUCUCUCCUGGCUAAAUCUUCGAGUUCACUAGGGCUUAAUCUUGGAUUGUGGUCAUGCCUAUUCAUGAAUGCUGGAUCUCCAAUUGGCAUUCUUAGGCCUGUUGCAGUCACUUCAUGCGAGCUAGUAGUUUGCCCUAGACUCCUUAAAGGUUUAGCUACCAAAACUUCCUACUGAUCAAAUCGUUGAGUCUGAUAGCUUGAUCGUGGAGUCUGCUGAGAGAUUUGCCUUGUAGGUGGGUUCCUCAUUGUUUGAGAUUAGAAUUGUCAUCUGCCUCUCCCCUUGCCUCCUUGACCUUCCCAAUCUCUUUUGCCUCUAUUCUCCCCCUUUAUGUCAGCAUCAAGGGUUCGAAUGUCUUCUGAAAGACGAGCAACUCCUUGGACAAGUUGGUUGAGCUGAUUCUUGGUCUGAGUAAUGUCUUCUCUAUUUUCUUCGAUGAGAACUUCAGACCUAGCUUCUUUUUGCUGAAGGAUGUAGAGAAUGUUGUCUGUUUGUUGGCCGCUACUGACAUAAAAUUGUUGAAAUUCUUUGACAGCAGUCUGAAGAUUUUGAAUGCUUUGUAUCAUCUGCUGGUUCUGAGAUUCUUGAGUUUUUUGUAAAAUCAAGACAACAUCCUUAUGUCUUUUGGCUGCAAGGAAGUGAAUAUCAUCCCUGUCCUUUAUGCUUUGUAGCAUUUCGCUUAUAAUCUCUUUGAGUGUUUUAGACAGUUCAGAGCUCAAGGAUCUUGGAAGGGUGUUUGUAGCAUUGAUCAUGGAUGUCAGUCUCAGCUGUAUCAGUGCAGUAUGAUCGUCAAGACUCUCGUCCAGUUCCUUGACCAUUUUCUCAGACAUGGCUGAUAGAUCAGCCUUGGUAGACAAUUCUGAAAGGAUUUCAUCCAAUUGGGGAAAUUUUGAGGAGGAAGGUGGUGUAUUGUUGAAUUGUUCUUUCAGUGAACAGAGAGCAAGUUCAAGAUUGAAGCAUUCAUUUGUCGAUGAGGAAGGGAUAUCUGAUGGAGGGACCUGGUUCUGAAUGGAGAACCUUGGUGACUCUACGAUUUGAGGUGUACACUCUACCAAAGGGUUAGAGUUAGUAAUCGUAGAGAGGAUAGGGUCUUGUAGCCUGAUGGGGUUGGUUAUUUUUGGUUCCUCAGUUACAGGAUUUUGGGACCCUGUAACUGGAAAUUGGUUUUGGGGAUGGAGAAUCACUUGCAGCCAUUGUGGGAUUUCAUAGAAUUUAUUGAAUGAGGUUGAUGGAAAAUGAUUGGUUCUGAAGAUAGUUGGAAUUGACAGUACCUCAAGUUUGUCCGGUGAGGAGGAUUUGUUGGUGAGAAGUUUUUUGGCGAAUGUGAGUUUUCCUGGAAAUCCACUGGCCAGUAUAGAGAUAGCUGGAUAUUCUUUGAAACUCUGCAACAUAUGAUCCCAAGAGUUCAAAAUCUAGGCCUGGUGGAAGGGCAUCAUAGGAAGAUAUGCAAAUAGUUGCUCAUAGUUGUAUCUUUUGUAUCCUUCUAUGCCCUCUACAAUGAUUUCGACUUCAUCUUCUUCAUUUUCUUCUCUACUUUCGGUUGAGGAGUUCAUUACGUUAAUUGCUUUAGGAUGUGCUUGCACUGGUUCUUCAUCAACUCCUCCAGGAACUUCUUUUUCAGCAAUUGAGGUGUCAUAGUCCUCCCCCUCAGUUUGAUCUUUUAGUUGAAAUGUUAACAGCUCCCCCUCAACUGGAGCAUUCUCUGAUGGAAGAUCUUUGGGCAUCUCCCCCUCAGUGGGUGUAUCUUCUAUCAUGUGGUCUUCAAGUUCCUUUUUGGUAUUCAGUUUUUCUGUUUCCCUUCUUAGCACUUCUUUAUUGGCAAGAAUAUACUUCUUGAGAAGUUUCCUCCUUGGCUUUUUAGCCUGUGCUACAGCCUCAGGGCUUUCUUCAGUUGUGUCUUUUAAACUGGCUAAGACAGCAGCUUCAUUGUUUGGUCUAUGCUCUACGAUCGAGGGAGACUCGACGAUCAAAGAGACUGAUGGCUUCUUGCCCUUGUGGCUGGUCUUACUCAUCUUCAGCAGUUGUGAUAUGGUUGUUAUGUCUUCUUCAGCCUCAGCUUCUUGUUCCUUUCUUCUUAGAAUUCUGAGAGUCUCAAUAUCUGAGGAUUCUACAGGUUUGUUGGUGGAGGAUUCUUGAGGCUCUUCUGUUGAUUUGGCUUUCCUUUUCCCUUUAUUUUUUUUGAUUAACGCAAUGAUUUCUCCCUUGUUGGCUUCUUCUUCUUCUUCCUCAGUUUCUUUGACAACAGACAUAUUCCCUGCAGUUCCUAUACCCCUUACUUCACCAGUUCGUCCACUAGAUUCAGAUGCCAUCUUCACAUUUUUAGCUGGAUUUCUUUUCCAGUUUUUAAACAGCUGAUGGGUCAUUCGUCUGUUUGGAUUUAUGGUUUCACCUUCAUUAUCUUCAAUCAGGUCACCAAGAGCAGCCUGCAGGAUAAUACUGAUGAAUCGUUCGUAGAGCAUCUUCUGUGAGCUCUUGGUUUUCUUUGAGUUGCUCAUCCAUUUCCCAAUCCUUUCAAGUAAAAUAGCACCAUAGUUUAGUUGUGUUUUAUAACAUAUGGCAGUCAUAAGUUUUAAUUGUACCUCAUUUACAGAGUCAUGGCCUGAGCUUUAACAGCAUAUGCAUUUUCCAAAAAUAUCGGCCAAAAACUCGUACCUUUGUGGGAAUUCCUUCUUUUUGUACCCUUUAACAGUUGGUGACUUCUUGUGGUGCAUCUUCUUGAGACCCUUGUGAAAAUCUAUACCUUCUAUGGACCGGUACCCUUCCGACUUGAGACCUAGGGCUAGGUUAAUAUCCUCAGCCUUCAAUCUGACUUCAACGUUCCUGACUCAUGCUGUGAUAGUGUUAUCUUCAAAUACAACAUUAUUGUAGAACUCCUUAACCAACUACGGGUAGAUCAAUGUAUUCAUAACCAAGGCUUCUUCGAGACCUGCCUUCUUUAGUAGUGACAGAGUUUUGUGAAAUUGGGGUUCAGCAGUUUUGAAUUCGUCGAAGCAUAGUCUGUAGCCGGAAAUAACAUUGGAAGCUGCCAUUGAUUUCUCUGUAGAAGAUGAGGUUUACAGAGUUUACUACUGAUUUAGGGUUUCUGCUUGAGAGAGGAUGAGAGGGAGAUGAUCUUUUGAACUUAAAAAGAUGAAUUUAAUUCGUACUAGUAACUUCCCUCUCUCUAUUUUGCUUUAUGGGACAGGUGUCAAAUUUUUCUUGGCUCUACGAAUCUGUCAGAAAAGGAUUGUACUGAAUUGUCCUUAACAAAUCUGAGCCAAAUCUUUCUUCAGGAGGACUACGAUCGUUAAGAUAGUCUUUGAAAUUUGUCGAGUCUGUUCAUCAGUCGUAGUGUCUGUUCGACAAUCGUCGAGUCUGUUUUAGGAGUUGUAGAGUCUGAGUAGGUCCUUGUGAUGAAUCUCUUUGACUUAAUCAUUCUUCUUAAAUAAGAGUAACUCAGGAAAGGCCAACCUCUUGAAUGAGACAAGGGUUAGGUUUGUCCCCGAGGCACCUAUCAGAAGGAAUGAUUUGAGUCAUGCUUGAUCAUCACAGGGUGCUUCUCUUGCUUUGUUAAAUCUGUACCACGAUCAUUGAUUCUUGUUCAGCGUUCGUUGAGUUUUAUGUACUUUGGCUCUACGAUCGUGGACUUCCUUCGAUCAUGUUUUUGACUUCGAACACAGCCUCUAAGUCUGCAUGGUUAGCACAAACUAAAGCAUAAUAUUUUAUGUUUGCAAAUUAAGCAUGCCUAGUUCACUUAUCAAUUUGUUGAAUCUGGAUUCAUCUAGAGGUUUUGUAAAAACAUCAACAAGUUGAUUUUCAGUAGGGAUAUAUUGUAAAGAAAUAUUUCCAUUUUGUACAUGAUCCCUAAUGAAGUGAUAUCUAAUUUCUAUAUGCUUUGUCCUAGAAUGCAUGACAGGAUUAUGAGUUAUAGCAAUUGUACUUGUGUUGUCACAAUGAAUAGGUAUAUAUUUGAAUUCAAACCCAUAAUCUGCUAGCUAAUUUUUCAUCCAUAGGAUCUGUGCACAGCAACUGUCAGCAGUGAUAUAUCCAGCUUCUGCAGUUGAAGUGGAUACCGAGUUUUACUUCUUGCUGAACCAGGAUACAAGUCUAUUGCCUAGUAGUUGACAAGUGCCACUGGUACUUUUUCUAUCUAUUUUGCAGCCUGCAAAAUCAGCAUCUGUGUAUCCUAUUAACUCAAAUGAGCAUUCCUUGGGAUACCAGAGCCCCAAGUGAGGUGUACCUUUGAGGUACCUAAAAAUCCUCUUUACAGCAGUUAAGUGAGAUUCUUUAGGACAUGCUUGAAAUCUAACACAAAUACAUGUUGCAAACAUUAUAUCUGGUCUACUGGCAGUGAGAUAUAAAAGAGAGCCAAUCAUACCUCUGUAUUGAGUCAUAUCAAUACUUUUACCUUUUUCAUCUUUGUCAAGCUUGGUAGCAGGAGCAAUUGGGGUUUUCAUGGGAGAUUCUGAUUCCAUGCCAUACUUUUUGAGCAAGUCUUUAAUGUAUUUGGCUUGAUUUAUGAAGAUUCCUUCAUCAGUCUGCUUUACUUGCAGUCCAAGAAAGACGUUCAGCUCACCCAUCAUGCUCAUUUCAAAUUUGCUCUGCAUAAGCUUAGAAAAUCUUUUGCACAGCUUUUCAUCAGUAGAGCCAAAGAUAAUGUCAUCAACAUAGAUUUGAACUAAUAGGACUUUAUCUUUAUGCUUCCUAAGAAAUAAUGUAGUAUCUACUCUACCUCUAGUAAAUUCAUUUUCAAUAAGAAAGUUAGUCAGUGUUUCAUACUAUGCUCUAGGUGAUUUUUUAAGACCAUAUAAGGCUUUGUCUAAUCUAAAGACAUAAUUAGAAAUAAAUGGAUCGAUGAAACCUGGAGGCUGCUCUACGUAGACUUCUUCUUGAAGUUCACCAUUUAGGAAUGCACUUUUGACAUCCAUUUGGAAGACCUUGAACUUCAUGUGAGCAGCAAAGACAAGGAAUAUUCUGAUGGCUUCCAGUCUGACAACAGGUGCAAAUGUUUCAUCAUAGUUGAUACCUUCUUCCUGAGAAUAACCCUUAGCCACUAGUCUUGCCUUAUUUCUGGUGAUUACUCCAUCUUCAUCCAUCAUAUUUCUGAAUACCUAUUUGGUUCCAAUAACAGGGUGAUUCUUUGGUCUUGGUACCAGUCUCUAUACUUUUCUUCUCUCGAACUGAUUAAGUUCUUCCUGCAUGGCUUCUAUCCAGCUAGAAUCUUCCAUAGCAUCCUCUAUCUUCUUUGGUUCCAUUUGAGAUAGGAAGCUUAGAUAGAAACAUUCAUUUUGAGUAGCAGCUCUUGUUUUGACUCUUGAAUUUGGAUCUCCAAUAAUUAGAUCUUGAGUGUGAUCUCUUGCCCAUCUACUUCCUGUUGGAACAUCAGUUCUUAUGCCUUCUUGUCUCAGAUCUUCAAGAUCUAUUUCUUCUUCUUGAUGUGAAGAUUCAUUGUCAGGCAUAGGCCUCUCUACGAUCUCAUUUUCUUGCUCAGCGACUUCAUUAUCAGGUACUAUGAUCGUAGUGUUAGGCUCGACGAUCUCGUUCGUAGUGUCUGAAUUGCUAGUCGUAGUGUCUUGGAGCACUGUUUUGUCUGAUUCUGUUUCAUCAAAGAUGAUGUGAAUUGAGACUUCUACACUUAGUGUCUUCUUGUUGAACACUCUGUAUGCCUUGCUGUCUGUGGCAUACCCGAGGAAGAUUCCUUCAUCUGAUUUUGGUUGGAACUUUAUCAGGUAUUGUUUUCCAUUGUUGAGAAUGUAGCAUGUACACCCAAAAAUAUGAAAAUAGCUAACGUUAGGUUUUCUUCCUUUCCACAGUUCAUAAGGAGUCUUCUUAAUUGUAGAGUGUAUGAGCGAUCUGUUCUGUGUAUAGCAUGCAGUGUUAACUGCUUCUGCCCAGAAGUACUCCGACAGAUGAGCUGCUGCUAGUAGAGUUCUUCCAGCCUCUAUCAAUGUUCUGUUCUUUCGUUCAGCAACCCCGUUUUGUUGAGGAGUUCAUGGAGCUGAGAAGUUAUGACUGAUGCCAUUGUCAGAACAGAACUGAUCCAUUUCUGAGAAGUGAAAUUCUCUACCAUGAUCACUCCUUAUAGCCUUGAUCUUCUCUCCUUUCUCAUUCAUCACAAGUUUGAACAUUUUGAUCAGCUGGGAGCUUGUCUCAUCUUUUGAGGUUAGAAAGAAUACCCAAGUGUAUCUAGUGAAGUCAUCAACUACGACCAGGGAGUAUCUCCUUCCUCCAAGGCUUGUGGUUGGAAUUGGCCCAAAAAGAUCCAUGUGUAACAGUUGCAACGGUUUGUCAAUUGAGUUGACAGUUUUACUCUUGAAUGUACUUCUGGUCUGCUUCCCAAGUUGACAGGCAUUGCAUGGCAUUUCUUUAAUAAAGUUAAACUUUGGUAGUCCUGGAACUAGAUCCUUUGAUGCUAGUUUGGACAUGCUUUUGAAGUUGAGAAGAGAUAAUCUUCGAUGCCAUAGCCAGCUUAUUUCUUCAGAUGCUUUAGCCAGAAAGCAUAUUGUUUCGUUUGAGCUUAGUUGUCCAAGAUUUACUGUGUAGACAUUUCCUUCUCUCGUUCUGGCUAGCUUUACUGCAGAUGUCUUCAAAUCUCGGACUUGACAUUGAUUAUUGAUGAACGUUACUUGACGCCCCUUGUCACAGAGUUGGCUGAUACUUAGAAGGUUGUGCUGUAGUCCUUCUACAUAGGCCACUUUACUGAAUGAUAUCACACCAUUUCCGGUUGAGCCAUAGCAUCUUGUUUUGCCAGUGCCAUUAUCUCCAAAAAUGACCGAAGGACCUUCCUUCUCUAUGAAGUUAGUUAGGAGGGCUUUGUUCCCAGUCAUGUGCCUUGAACAUCCACUGUCCAGAUACCAGGUUGACUUCGCAGAGCUCCUUUCCUGAGAUAACAUUGAACCUUCAUUUUGGUACCCAUAUUUGCAUGGGUCCUACUAUAUUAGUACCUUUGGGGACCCAAAUCUGCUUGAUUUUGGGUCUUUCGUGCAUGGAGUUAUAAUGACAACGCCUUAUGACCAACUCUAUGGCACUCAAAGCAUUUGAUAUGAUGUGUGUACGUGUGUGUAUGAGAGGUCUUCCUCCAUUUGGACUUUUGUGGGUUACUGGUCAUCCACCUGCUAGGCUGAUAUACCUUUUUUCAUGUGUUCUUUUGUUUCAUAAAUUUAGGAGAGUAUAUCUUACUACUAUUGUAUCUUCCUGGUUGGUUCGUAGAGUUGAUUUUAUUUGACUCUACGAUCCUUCGAGGUUGAUGAGUAGUGGCUAGAUUACUUUUCUCUUUUCUGAAACCUAGACCAGCAUGAGAUCCCUGACUUCUGGGAAUAUGAAUUGAGUUAGUCGAGCAGGAUUUGACGGGCUCAUCAUUCUGUGAGGAUUUCGCAAAUAUAAUGCCUCUACUAAGACCUGAGGCAUUACUAGUGUUAAUAUCCUUUGGUUUUUCCACACUUGACCCUAGGAUAGAUUCCCCAAAGCCUAGUCCUGUUCUAUCAGAGAUAUUCCUCUGAUUAUAGAUCAAAGAGUCCAUGGAUGAAGAGGAUUUAUUCCAUGUUGAGAUGGUCUUUUCUAGAUCCUCAAUUUUUGAGGUUAGACUAGACUCUCGUUUGGCACUGAGCUCACUUGAUUGUCUCAAUAGCUUAUUCUCAGCUUCAAGUUCAGAGAAAGAAUUAGUGUUGAGAAGAGCAGUUUUCAGUUCUUCUUGAACUUUUUCUUUCUCCUUUUGCAGAAGUGAAUAAUCCUCAGACAGAACUCUAAACCACUUCAUAUAUUGGUGUAGAUCUGAUGUUAUGCCAUGUAAUGCAGUUCUGAGAUCAUUAAUAUCUACGUCAGGAGAGUUAAAGUUAAAUACCUCAUCAAUACUUACUUCAUGUAUGUUGGAGUUCUAUUUGUCCCUUGCACUUUUGGCCAUUAGACAGAGGUUAGCUAUCUGGGGAUCUUCAUCGUCUCCAGAUUCUGGAGUUGAGUCAUUGUCAGAGUCACUCCACGAUCCUCCAGCUACAAGGCCUUUGUCUUUCUUUGCUGGUCUCUUGUUGCCUUUGUAUUCCUUCUUUGCAUUUGAUUUCUUUUUGAGUUCUUCCCUGAGAGGUUUGUUGCAGUUGGCGAUGAAGAGGCCAGGUUUCUUGCAGUUGUAGCAUAGAUCAUUCAUUUGUUCCUGGCUGUUGUAGUUUCCAACCUUAUUUGGCUUGCUAGUCCUACCUUGUCUCAUGAAUCUUCUUAGUCUCUUGACUAGCAUUGCAAGGUCCUCAUCAUCAUCUUUAUCCUAGUCAGAGUCAGCUUCAGUGUUGAUCUUGGAUGUAUUUUCAGUUACUUUGAGGACAACAUCUUUGUCUUUCUUUCUUCCUUCAGACAAUGUUCUGCUUGUUGUGUCAGCUCCAGCUCGUAUGUGAGGAGAUUACCAUAUAACUGUUGAACAGUCAUUUCAUGCAGAUUCUUGGAUUCUCUAAUGCCUGUUGUUUUGGCAUCCCACUUACUUGGUAAAGAUCUCAUGAACUUUAUGAUCAGAUCCUUGUUUGGAUAGAUCUUUCCAUAAGCUCGUAGAGAGUUGAGCAGAAUGUUGAAUCUCUCGUAUGUAGCAGUAACAUUUUCUCCUUGAACAUGAGCAAACAUCUCAUAUUGUUGAGUCAGGAGAGAUUGUUUAUUUUCUCUGACAUCUUCUGUUCCUUCAUGCAUGAUGAGUAGUGCUUCCCAAACCUCUUUAGCUGUCUUGCAGUUGACCACAUUUUCAAAUAGGUCAUCUUCUAAUGAUUGAAAUAAGAUAUUCUUGGCCUUUUUGUCAAGCUAGACAGCUCUCUUCUCAUUCUCUGUGCAUUCUUCUUUGACCUUGAUCUGUACUCUAUUUGGAUCAUCUGUAGUUGGUGCAAGCUUUGUAGGAAUGUAGGGCCCAUUUUGAACGGUGUCAAAUAGAUCUUCAUCUAUUGAGUCCAUAUAAGCUUGCAUCCUAACCUUCCAGUUAGCAAAUUUGUCUUUGUUGCACAUUGGUGGCUUGCUGCCUCCUCCUGUCUUUGAUUCGCUUGGUACAUGUGCCAUUGGAUCUACUUAAGCUUUGUGGGCUGUAUUAUAGAACCUGCUCUGAUACCAAUUGUUAGUUCCUAGUAGGCACGAUAGAUAUAUAGAAGGGGAGGUUGAAUAGAUAUCUAAAACUUUUUCUUUCAAACCCGUUAAGUUGAUAGAAAUUAAUGCACAGCGGAAUGAGUGUUUGUGAAAAACCUUUUGAUAUAUAUCUUGAGUUAAUGAGUUUAAGAUAGUUAAGACAUAUGGCAGUUAUAGCAGUUAUAUGAACACAAUAGUUUUAAGUGGUUCAGAGCACUAAAGGCUCCUAGUCCACUCUUCUACUCCUUGAGUAGGAAAUCCACUAAGGAUGUUUGUUACACUUCUUGAAUCUCAUAGAUUCCUUCUAGAUUUGCAAUCUAGGUACUUCUUAGUUCACUCUUGAACUCUUCAAGUUCAGUAACUUGGUCUCUUACAGUUCACUUAGAACUCUUCAAGUCCUUCAGACUUGGCUCUUCACAGUUCACUUAAAACUCUUCAAGUUCUUCUAACUUGGAACUUCACACUUCAGUAGAUUUACAGUUAUUGAGUUAUGAUGGAGGCUACUCAGUUGCAGUUAAGCAAUUGUUUGGAGGAACUGAGUAGCUGAGCAAGCUUUUUCCUUUUUCACAGAUCGUAGAGUUCUUCACUUUGUGUUCUUUGCUCGUUGUUAUAUAAUGCUUGCUUACUUCUUUCUCAUCUGCCUUUGUUCUGUAUAUAUGAGAUCUUGAAAUCUAUCCGUUUGAAGUCAUCUGAUGAGGCAUUAAUGCUUUUGACAUCUCUAAGUUUUGAUUAAGACUUUUUUACAAAUCUUCUGAAUAGCACUCUGGCCCACUGACACAGCAGACUGCUUUCUCACCUAACACCUCAAAAGUUGUUUUCCUCGGCCCAAUGGUCCUUUUCUUAACUUCUUGAAUACAUCUCUUUUGAUCAAUACUAAGGAUAUCUUGUAUACCGUUGGGACUGAUGAUAGUUUCAACGUUCAAAACCCAUUCCUCAUUUGUUGGAAUCGAAAGUUAGGGCUUGAUGCUUCUGACAUAAGACAGAUGACACUCUACUAUCCAAAUAGUAGUGUCUUGUCAUAUUGGUGCUGGUCCUCAAGAGAACACUAUGAUUGCUCACACUAUGGUCUUUUAACACGACGAUCAUCACUUGCUCGCUCUGCAGACUCAACGUUUCUGAGAACACACUACGAUCUCUUAGUUAGCUCGGCAGACGUCUGGAUCACUCUACGAUUUCUGGAGAGGUCCACAAUGCAGAUACACUACGAUCACUUCAGCACUACGGUCUUACCUUGCCUUUUGCAUUUUGUUGAUCAGCCAGAUAGACUACAAUUCUUUUCAAGGCGUAUAUAUAUCUUUUUAGACACAGAUCAAUCCUAACAAAUUCGAUCUCUUUAUCUAUGCAAGUGAAUAUUAAAGGUUAAGAUCAACCUAACAACUUUGAUCUGUCACUAAGUCCUUGUACAUAUAUUCAUGGAAGGACUUUACACAAAAUCAAGAGUAUUAAACAUCAAAUCACAAUAUGAAUUCUUCCAACAGAGAGGUUAGGUCAUCUAAUUGCGCGCUAGUAAGGAAAAAUCCUUAUUGGAAAGCCCCCUCUAUUCUGGGAACUACCUGGUUGUCAGUAUUGUGAUUCUGUAAUAUUAUUUGUGAAUAAUUAAUUAUUGAUUUAUAUGAUGAGGAAAAUAUUGAUUUUAUGUGGAUAUAGAUGGAGAAAAUUUUUAAUGUGACAAUUGUUGAAAAUUAAUAUUUUAUCUUUUUCUGAUAAAAUAAUUCAUUUAAUAUUAUUAUUAUAUUUUAAUAAUAUAAUAAUGGUGAUAUUUUUACAAUGAAUGUGGGAUAUAUGAGUAUAUGAGGAAGAAGAGUAUUUUUGUUAUAAUAAAUGUUAAAAACAUGUUUUUCAUGUCGGUGGACCACAUUUCUUGACUGAAAUUUGAUUAUAGCCUAUAAAAUCGCCCGUUUGUGGAUUCUGGUCAAUUUCUGUUUGGAAUUUGGAAAAACUUAAACUUACAAAGUAGUAGAAAAUAAAAUUUCCUAUGGUAAGGACAUGUGGUUCGAAUUUUUCUGAUAAAAGAGCUAUUUAUUAUGAAAUAUUGAAGUUCCAAAGCUCCGAAAUAAUUAAUUUUUGAAGUUUUAAUUAUUUUUAUGAAGAAAAAAGUUUUUUACAUUUUGUGAGACUCAUUUAACAUGUGCUAGGGGCUUAGUUCAGUUGAAGAUUGUGUGUGUAGGAAUUUAAUAAAAAUAUAUUAAUAUUUUAUUAAAUUUUCUGCUUUAGUGUUCUAAGCAUUUUCCUAUAAAUAGGGUGCUUAGGUUAGAAUUGAAUAUUACACCGAAAACUGAAGUUUUCUCUCUCUUUCUCUCUCGAUAUAUUGAGCGUAUUCUUGUGAGUAUUUUAAUACUUUGAGUGUUGCUAUACGGUACAAGUUCAAGUCAUAGCCUAUAUCUAGUGUUUCAACUAGAAGUACUGUCUUUACGAGGUAAGGGAUUAUUUUUAAAAAAAUGAUAUUAUUUCUUUCAAUAUCAUUAUGCCAAAGUAUUAAUCUGAAUUUUAAUCAAAUUUGGAACUUUUUGUGUUGGGAUUACUAUUCACGUAUACGGCACUAUUCACGAAUACGGCACUAUUCAUCAAAAAAAAAAAAUUUCCUUUUUGUCUAAAAUAUCUAUUAUGGAUACUAGCUUUGAUUGUAUCCAUGUUUUGAUCAUUCUUGAAUUUUACUUCAGUAUGAUUAUUUAUGAAGUAUUUUUGAACUCGGAUUGUUUAAAGUACGAAUCCUUAAUAUUUGUUCUUUUGUUUUACUGGAUUCGUUUUCUUUAAAAAUAUUUUUCAUCAUCCUCAGUCCUAAAUACUGAUGUUACUGAAUAUCUUUGGCCUGUAGUGCAAAGAUGGUUGAUUUUAUUAUGAAUAUCUUUGCCCGUAGUGCAAAGAUGAACAGGUAUUGAGAUGAACAUGACCAACUGAUGAAUAUCUUUGGCCUGUAGUGCAAAGAUGGUUGAUUUUAUUAUGAAUAUCUUUGCCCGUAGUGCAAAGAUGAACAGGUAUUGAGAUGAACAUGACCAACUGAUGAAUAUCUUUGGCCUGUAGUGCAAAGAUGAAUAUAUGAUUCAAGAUGUGCAUUUAUUGAUGUUACAGGGAUAAAAAUAUUGUUGAUGGACUGUUAAAUUCAUAGAUAAUAGUAGAUUUCAUUCUACGUAACUCUUCUAUGAUCUACAUAACUCUUCUAUGAAUUAUUAUUUUCGCUGCGAAUAUUGAUCUGAAACUUGUUGUCUAUUGUAUUUUAUCAGAUUUUUCCCUGUUGAAGACUAAAGAUAAUUUGUUCUAUAUUAUCUUAGUCAUAAUNNNNNNNNNNNNNNNNNNNNNNNNNNNNNNNNNNNNNNNNNNNNNNNNNNNNNNNNNNNNNNNNNNNNNNNNNNNNNNNNNNNNNNNNNNNNNNNNNNNNNNNNNNNNNNNNNNNNNNNNNNNNNNNNNNNNNNNNNNNNNNNNNNNNNNNNNNNNNNNNNNNNNNNNNNNNNNNNNNNNNNNNNNNNNNNNNNNNNNNNNNNNNNNNNNNNNNNNNNNNNNNNNNNNNNNNNNNNNNNNNNNNNNNNNNNNNNNNNUUUUUCCUCUUCAUGCAAAAUCAAACGAGGGAGACUCGUGUUCAAAAUACAGGAGGAAAUGAUAGCAAUUCACGGGUUGUCACAACCAAGCAGUUCAAAGAGUUGGGACCACCAGAUUUCUGGGGAAAGCCGGAUCCGAUUAAGGCGAAGACAUGGGUCAAACAAAUUACCAAGAUAUUCGAUGUCUUGGGAUGCUCAGAAGAACAGAAGGUUCCAUUCGCCACUUUUUUGUUCCGUAAUGAGGCAGAUUACUGGUGGGAAUCUGUGAAGCGUACCCAUCCAUCCGCACUCAGCAUGUCUUAGGAGACGUUUCAAAAACUAUUUAAUGACAAAUACUUUCCUGAAAGUGUUCGUCAUAUGAAGGAAGUGGAGUUCAUUAGACUAGAAAAAAAUAACAUGACGGUGUCCCAGUAUGAGGCAAAGUUUGCAGAUUUAUCCAGGUUGGCACCUCAUUUGGUGGAGAAUGAGGAACGUAUGACGCGGAUGUUUCUGAGAGGUUUGAAACCCGGCAUACGUCAGUAUCUCAUUUCUCAUAAAUUUUCUCUCUAUUCAGAUGUUGUAAACAGGGCUCAAUUGUUAGAGCGAGAUAACGAGUACGUUCAACCGAGGGACCACAACCAGGAUCAUACCGGAGAUAGUAGUCAACAGAACAACGAUAACCAGCGGAGAAAGAAAAAGACGGACAAAAAUGGUAACCACUCUGGUGGUAAUCAUGGCCAUGAAAAUAGAAGAAGCGAGUCGGGGAGAGAUUUUAAAAAGAGGAUAUUUAACAAUGAUAAUGUGAAGACGUCAGCAACAGCAGCAACUGGUUCUAAGGGAGGAGAACGACCCUCGGUCGUAUGCUACAAAUGCGGGAAAGAGGGACAUAUCAGCCCAAAUUGCCCACAACAGUUCAUGGUAUGCUAUAAUUGUGGAAAGAAAGGACAUAUCGCUCGAGAUUGUACGGUAGCGAAACCUAGUUCAGCAGGGACGGUGACUCAAAAGACUGUCACAGAAAAGUCAAAGUCAACAGUUCCUGGAAGAGCAUUUGUUGUGACUGGUCAAAAUGUGAGGUACCCAAACGAGGUGAUCACGGGUAAGCUAAUCAUAAAUUCUUGCGAAGGUUAUACCUUACUAGAUAUUGGUGCUUCCCAUUCAUUUAUCUCUCCUGCUUAUGCUCAACGUUUAAACUUGAAUCCAGAGAAAUUAGACUUUGAUUUAUCUGUGGAGACUCCAUUAGGAGAAACUUUCAUCACAUCCACUAUUUAUAAAUCUUGUUUGAUCCAAGUUGGCACCAUUACCUUACCUGUUGACCUUAUCUCUUUAAAGAUACUUGCUUUUGAUGUGAUUUUAGGGAUUGAUUGGUUAACUACUCAUCAUGCUAAAAUUGAUUGUUUUCGUAAGGUUGUUAGCUUUCAUAUUUCUAAACAAUCUGUUGUACGAAUUCAAGCAACUAAACCAUUAAAAUCAAUCAGUGUCAUAUCUAAUCAUAAAGCUAUUAAUUUAUUGAAAAACGGAUGUCAAGCUUUCUUAGCCCAUGUUAUGGAUUUGAAUAAAGGCACGUCAAAAUUGAAUAAUAUUCCUGUUGUUAUUGAAUUUCCUGACGUAUUUCCUUAAGAACUUCCUGGUCUACCCCUGGAACGUGAAGUUGAAUUCUUCAUUGAUCUUGAACCUGGUACAAAUCCCAUUUCUAAAACCCUAUAUCGAAUGGAUCCUAUUGAACUUCAGGAGUUAAAGGUCCAACUACAAGAGUUGUUGGACAUCGGUUUCGUUCGUCCUAGUACAUCUCCUUGGGGUGCUCCUGUUUUAUUCGUAAAGAAGAAAGACGGGAGUAUGCGACUUUGUAUUAACUAUAGAGAAUUGAACCAUGUCACCAUCAAGAAUAGGUAUCCACUACCUCGUAUUGAUGGCCUGUUUGACCAGUUGCAAGGAGCACAAUUCUUUUCAAAGAUCAAUCUUCGUUCUAGAUAUCAUCAGCUGAAGAUUAGAACUGAGGAUAUUCCAAAGACUGCCUUCAGAACUCGGUACGGGCAUUAUAAAUUCUUAGUCAUGUCUUUCAAAUCCAUUAACGCUCAUGCGGCUUUCAUAGAUAUGAUGAACCGAGUAUUCAAGGAUUAUUUAGAUCAGUUCGUUGUUGUAUUUAUUGAUGACAUCCUCAUAUAUUUCAAAAGCCGUGAAGAUCAUGAGCACCAUUUGAAGCUGGUACUCUAAAGGCUUCGUGAAAACAAGCUAUAUGCCAAGUUGAAGAAAUACAAGUUCUGGCUUGAGGAAAUAGCAUUCCUUGGGCACGUGGUGUCAAAACAUGGAGUAUCUGUUGACCCGGCGAAGAUUGAAGCAAUACAAAGUUGGGAGCAACCGAAGACGGUGACUGAAGUACGUAGCUUUUUGGGCUUAGCUGGUUAUUAUCGGAGAUUCGUAGAAGGGUUUUCUCAAAUCGCUACUCCNNNNNNNNNNNNNNNNNNNNNNNNNNNNNNNNNNNNNNNNNNNNNNNNNNNNNNNNNNNNNNNNNNNNNNNNNNNNNNNNNNNNNNNNNNNNNNNNNNNNNNNNNNNNNNNNNNNNNNNNNNNNNNNNNNNNNNNNNNNNNNNNNNNNNNNNNNNNNNNNNNNNNNNNNNNNNNNNNNNNNNNNNNNNNNNNNNNNNNNNNNNNNNNNNNNNNNNNNNNNNNNNNNNNNNNNNNNNNNNNNNNNNNNNNNNNNNNNNNNNNNNNNNNNNNNNNNNNNNNNNNNNNNNNNNNNNNNNNNNNNNNNNNNNNNNNNNNNNNNNNNNNNNNNNNNNNNNNNNNNNNNNNNNNNNNNNNNNNNNNNNNNNNNNNNNNNNNNNNNNNNNNNNNNNNNNNNNNNNNNNNNNNNNNNNNNNNNNNNNNNNNNNNNNNNNNNNNNNNNNNNNNNNNNNNNNNNNNNNNNNNNNNNNNNNNNNNNNNNNNNNNNNNNNNNNNNNNNNNNNNNNNNNNNNNNNNNNNNNNNNNNNNNNNNNNNNNNNNNNNNNNNNNNNNNNNNNNNNNNNNNNNNNNNNNNNNNNNNNNNNNNNNNNNNNNNNNNNNNNNNNNNNNNNNNNNNNNNNNNNNNNNNNNNNNNNNNNNNNNNNNNNNNNNNNNNNNNNNNNNNNNNNNNNNNNNNNNNNNNNNNNNNNNNNNNNNNNNNNNNNNNNNNNNNNNNNNNNNNNNNNNNNNNNNNNNNNNNNNNNACCAUAAAAGCCUUAAAUAUUUCUUCACUCAAAAAGAACUCAACAUGCGGCAGCGAUGUUGGCUCGAGCUAUUGAAAGACUACGACGACACUAUUCAAUACCAUCCUGGAAAAGCGAACGUGGUAGCUGACGUAUUGAGUAGAAGAUCAUACGUGGGAACGAGUGCGAUGUUGAUAACAAAAAGGCCCAUUUUGUGUGAUUUACAAAAGAUGAUAAUAGAAUUCAAGACUCUGGGGACCCAUGCAAAGAUGUCAAGUAUACGUAUAGAACCAACUUUAAUUGAGAAAGUUAAAGUUGCUCAAGCCACAGACCCGGAGCUGAUGAUUAUGAAGAAGAAAGUACAAGAAAGUGUUAUUCCAGAAGCAAGAAUUGAUGAAGAACGAAUACUUCGAAUCCACUCCAGAAUUUGUGUUCCUAACGAUUCUGAUUUGAAGUACAAGAUCAUGAUGGAGGCACACAAUACACCGUUUGCAAUCCAUCCUGGAAGUACCAAGAUGUAUCAUGAUCUUCGACAUACAUUUUGGUGGAAUAAUAUGAAGAGAGAGAUUGCAAAGUUUAUCUCGAUGUGUUUAACUUGUCAACGUGUAAAGGCGGAGCAUCAAGUACCUAAGGGUCCGUUGCAACCACUUGAGAUUCUGAAAUGGAAGUGGGAACACAUUACCAUGGAUUUCGUUAUGGGUCUUCCCAUGGUUUCUCAAGGCAUAAAUGCUAUUUGGGUUAUUGUUGAUAGAUUAACCAAGUCUGCUCAUUUCUUGCCGAUACGGGAGACUUAUUCCCUUGAACGUCUUGCUCGUAUGUAUGUAAAUGAGAUUGUGAGGUUGCAUGGCAUGCCAGUAUCCAUAGUUUCGGAUCGUGACCCAAGAUUCACUUCAAGAUUUUGGGUUAGCUUGCAAAAAGCUAUGGGUACGGAUUUACGAUUCAGUUCGGCAUACCAUCCUCAAACGGACGGACAAUCAGAGAGGACUAUUCAAACUCUUGAAGAUUUAUUAAGACUCUGUGUCCUAGACUUCAAGGGCAGUUGGGAUAAGUAUUUACCAUUGGUGGAAUUCUCCUACAACAACAGUUAUCAGGCAAGUAUAGGUGUGGCUCCAUUUGAAGCAUUAUAUGGACGAAAGUGUCGCUCUCCAAUAUGUUGGGAUGAGGUGGGUGAAGCAACAUUGUUGGGACCCGAGUUGGUACGUAUGACUACAGAAAAGAUCCAAAUGAUUCGACAACGUAUACAAACGGCACAGGAUCAACAAAAGAGUUAUGCGGAUCUUCAUCGAAAGGACGUGGAAUUUAGUAUUGGGGAUCAUGUAUUGUUGCAUGUGGCUCCAUGGAAGGGAGUUACAAGAUUUGGGAAAAGAGGAAAGCUCAAUCCACGAUUUAUUGGUCCAUUUCAGAUUCUUGACCGAGUAAGAAAUGUAGCCUAUAGACUCGCGUUACCUCCAAGUAUGUCUCGUGUUCAUAAUGUUUUUCACAUAUCUGUGCUUCGUAAAUAUGUGAAAGACCCGAACCACAUCAUUGAGUUAGAACCGGACGAGAUAGCCGAAGACUUAACAUAUAAAGAGGUACCUGUCAAGAUCUUGGAUAAGAAGGAGCAUGUCCUACGCACGAAGGUCAUACCACAAGUUAAAUUUUUGUGGAGGAACCAUGCUAUAGAGGAAAUGACCUGGGAGUUGGAAACGGAAAUGAAAGCGAGGUAUCCUCACCUUUUCGAAAUACCAGGUACGUACGUUAAUUUCGAGGACGAAAUUUCAUAAGGAGGGGAGGUUGUAAGACCCCAAAUUAUUAAUAAAUAAAAUUUAAUUUCCUCUAUUUAUUAUUUUGAAAUAGUAAGGGUUGAUGUGAUUAAUAUGAUUAGUUAUGGGUAAAAGCGCAAACAUCUUAAAUAAGCAGGUGGUUAUAAAAUAUUAAUAUUUUGUCGGGGAAUAUUCGUUUGGUCAUGGAAUAUUCUUACUGUCGGGAAAUAUUCGUACGACGGCGCAGCCUUGUGUGGGCCCCAUAACAGAAAGCGAUUGGAUGAAGAAAACGACAAGAGUAAAUUGGUUAUAAAUAACGGCGUAGUUGUUACCGUUAAUACUAUUGAAAUACUCGAUGGUUAAAACACAGUAGCACACGGUAUUGCACCAAUUAUUGAUUCUUAUGUAAGAAGGCACUACUCAAUAAUUUUUACAGUAAUUAUUAUUCAGUAUUUUAUUUUAUUGAUUCAAUAAUUGCUGCGUUGAUAUUUUAUAUUAUUGUCGUUUCAAUAAUUGUCUAUUAUCGGAGCAAUAAUUCAUAUUAUCUGAAUAAUAUUAUUGGAUAACAUUAUUGGCAAUGUCUAGAAAGUUCUGUCUAAAGAGAGGUUAGGUCAUCUAAUUGCGCGUCAGUAAGGAGAAAUCCUUAUUGGAAAGCCCCCUCUAUCCUGGGAACUGUCUAGUUGUGAGUUUUGUGUUUCUGUAAUAUUAUUUGUGAAUAAUUAAUUAUUGAUUUAUAUGAUGAGGAAAAUAUUGAUUUUAUGUGGAUAUAGAUGGAGAAAAUUUUUAAUGUGGCAAUUGUUGAAAAUUAAUAUUUUAUCUGUUUCUGAUAAAAUAAUUCAUUUAAUAUUAUUAUUAUAUUUUAAUAAUAUAAUAAUGGUGAUAUUUUUACAAUGAAUGUGGGAUAUAUGAGUAUAUGAGGAGGAAGAGUAUUUUUGUUAUAAUAAAUGUUAAAAAAAUGUUUUUCAUGUCGAUGGACCCCAUUUCUUGACUGAAAUUUGAUUAUAGCCUAUAAAAUCGUCCGUUUGUGGAUUUCGGUCAAUUUAUGUUUGGAAUUUGGAAAAACUUAAACUUACAAAGUUGUAAAAAAAUGAAAUUUCCUAUGGAAAGGACAUGUGGUUCAAAUUUUUCUGAUAAAAGAGCUAUUUAUUAUGAAUUAUUGAAGUUUCGAAGCUCCGAAAUAAUUAAUUUUUGAAGUUUUAAUUAUUUUUAUUAAGAAAAACGUUUUUUACAUUUUGUGAGACUCAUUUAACAUGUGCUAGGGGCUGAGUUCAGUAGAAGAUUGUGUGCGUAGGAAUUUAAUAAAAAUAUAUUAAUAUUUUAUUAAAUUUUCUGCUUUGGUGUUCUAAGCAUUUUUCUAUAAAUAGGGUGCUUAGGUUAGAAUUUAAAAUUACACCGGAAACUGAAGUUUUCUCUCUCUUUCUCUCUCGAUAUAUUGAGCGUAUUCUUGUGAGUAUUUUAAUACUUUGAGUGUUGCUAUACGGUACAAGUUCAAGUCAUAGCCUAUAUCUAGUGUUUCAACUAUUAGUACUAUCUUUACGAGGUAGGGGAUAUUAUUUUUUUUUAAAUGAUAUUAUUUCUUUCAAUAUCAUUAUGCCGAAUUAUUAAUCUGAAUUUUAAUCAAAUUUGGAACUUUUUGUGUCGGGGUUACUAUUCACGUAUACGGCACUAUUAACGAAUACGACACUAUUCAUAAAAAAAUGAAAAUUUUCCUUUUUCGUCCAAAAUAUCUAUUAUGGAUACUAGCUUUGAUUGUAUCCAUGUUUUGAUCAUUCUUGAAUUUUACUUCCAGUAUGAUUAUUUAUGAAGUAUUUUUGAACUCGGAUUGUUUAAAGUACAAAUCCUUAAUAUUUGUUCUUUUGUUUCACUGUAUUCGUUUUCUUUAAAAAUAUUUUUCAUCAUCCUCAGUCCUAAAUAAUGAUGUUAUUGAAUAUCUUUGGUCUGUAGUGCAAAGAUGGUUGAUUUUAUUAUGAAUAUCUUUGCCCGUAGUGCAAAGAUGAACAGGUGUUGAGAUGAACAUGACCAACUGAUGAAUAUCUUUGACCUGUAGUGCAAAGAUGAAUAUAUGAUUCAAGAUGUGCAUUGAUUGAUGUUACAGGGAUAAAAAUACUGUUGAUGGACUGUUAAAUUCAUAGAUAAUAGUAGAUUUCAUUCUCUACGUAACUCUUCUAUGAAUUAUUAUUUCUGUUGCGAAUAUUGAUCUGAAACUUGUUGUCUAUUGUAUUUUAUCAGAUUUUUCCCUGUUGAAGACUAACGAUAAUUUGUUCUAUAUUAUCUUAGUCAUAAUGUUCUUUACUGUGCUAGUUGAGCUCACCCUUUUCCUUUUUGUUCCAUUUUUCUUCUCAGGAGGCGAGAAUGUAGCGAGUACGAGUCGAGGUAUGGAAUGAUGGUUUUAGAAGUUGUUUUAGUAGUCCUCACCAUUUUUGUAAAAUAAUGUAUCAAUAAUUGUAAUGAGGACUUAGUUGGGUAUGGAUAUUGUCUAGAUGACAAUAUUUGUAUUUAAACUCACAGUUUUUAUGUUGUAUUAAUAAAGUUGUAGUUGUUUCUGUACCAUGUUAUUGAUGACUCAAAAUGGGUGAUAUAUACCUAUUUUGGGGGCGUCACAGAUCGGACAUAAAAUAGAUUUUGAUAUUGAUGUAGGACAGCUAGCUCUGGAGUUUGAGAAGGAGUUAGAUAAGAAGCGGGAAAGGAGAACCGGUCUGAGGAAACGGUCAUAAUUCCCGAAGACUGGAGUUGUUUCCGAAGAGCUGGGUUCGAUUGGCUUUGGGUACGGAGACAAGUUCGGAAAUGGCAUCAUGGCUUCGAGAGGUCGAAACUUCUUUGGACAUGGCGUCAUAACUUCAGAAAGGCUGGAUUAAUUAUUAUUAUUAUUUAGUUCUUUUAUGGUAAUAGUAUUUUACUAGGUAGUAAAUCUUUUAUCAUUAAGUUGUUAUCUAUUAGGAUUUUAUUUCCGUAAUAAUAUGAAGUUUGUUAGAAUCUUUUUCCCAUCCCUAGGAAGAUUUUAUUUUUUUUAUUUUCAUAUCUCUAGAAAUAUUCUAGAGUGACAUAGAGAUAAAGUUUUGCUAAGCUAUAUAAGCCCGGCUUGUGGGUUGAGAGUAUAACUCAUUCAUAUUAUCUUUUUCAAUUGAAAUCGUAUUAUUUUAUGGUGGAUUCCAGAUUGUGUUCUUAGAAUUUACGUUGGUAAAUUCUUUUUUGCUUUUCAUUCUGCGUCAAUUGGUAUCAAAGCCAAGGAUUUUGCCUUGUCAAUGGCCAACAACGAAGGCGGUAGAGAUAUCCUUAACGACGCUUGUUGUAGGGAUGUCGAGUUAUGGGUGGCGAUUGAUGAUCAACGACAGUCAAUGGCGAUGAUGGAAGCCAUGAUGCAACAACUGUUGUUACAACGACCCAACCCCAACGGCAACAGAGACGGAGGUGAGGGAUUUGCCCCUGGCCACCCUGGAGGGAACGUUAACAUAGAAUAGCCCGACGAAAGUCGUUCGAAGGAUUCAGUGAUGAGGACUCUGAUGAAGACGUUGUAGGUGGGCAGAGAAACCUUCAUCAACACCAAAACCGAAACCAACACCAAUCUGACUAUAGAAUAUGUGCGGAUAUACCAUUAUUCCAUGGUAAAUUGUAGAUUGAAGAAUUUCUGGAUUGGCUUUCUGAGUUUGAAAGGUUUUUCGAGCUAACGGAGGUUGCAGCAGAUCGACAAGUUAACCUAGUAGCGUACAAAUUGAGGAGCGGAGCUGCUGUUUGGUGUGAAAAGUUAUAGAUGGAUCGACGACGUUAGGGCAAAACCCCUAACCAAUCUUGGAGGCGGAUGAAAUAACUUAAUGAGCAGAUUUUUACCCCUAGAUUAUGAACAAUUAAUUUUCCAGAGUUACCAGAAUUGUGCACGGGGUAACAGAACUAUGCCAAAAUACACCGAGGAGUGGUCUAGAUUGUCAGUUUGUAACAACCUGAAUGAGACUGAGGCACAGCAAGUGUCUAGAUAUUUGGAAGAGCUAAAACCUUCUAUUCGAGAUAAGUUUGGACUGUAACUGCAAGUCAUUUGGACCGUGGACAAACCACAUAACAUGGCCUUGAAGGCGUAAUUAAUGGAAAAGGCAUCCAAUCGAUUUUCUUACCACAUGAAUGACAUGGCAGGGACAACGUCCAACUUAAACACAAAUAGAUUUUUGGCAAAUGACGGGAAGAAUCGGCCUACAACUGAUACUGUGCAGGCACAGAGGGGUUCGGGACCUACUAAUAAUCCUGUUGGGACCCGACCUACAACAUCAGCUACAAAGGAAGCGCCACGAGGACCGAACCCAUAUGCUAAAACAGGCGGGUUUAAGUGUUACAGAUGCGGUCAACCGGGUCAUCGCUCCAAUAAGUGUACGAUGCGUAGGUCGAUGAAUUUCAUGGAAGCUGGAGAGGGAGAUGAGGACGACCAGUUUGUCGAAAAAGAGACAAACGUGGGCGAAUUCUGGGAAGAUGCAGAAAUAGCCGAGGAACAUGGAGAGCAUGUAAAUUACGUGAUCCAGCGAGUCAUGUGCUCGACGAAGAUAGAAGAUUCAUCACAACGAAACAAUAUUUUUAUGGCAUGCUACAGUAUUAAUGGAAAGGUUUGCCACCUAAUUAUAGACAAUGGAAGCUACGAGAAUUUUGUGUCAAAGAAAUUGGUCAAACACCUAAAACUGCGAGUAGAGAAACACCCGAAGCCCUACGUAAUUGGGUGGAUUAAGAAAGGACCUAGGGUGAAUGUGACCGAAGUAUGCAAAGUACAUAUCUCGAUUGGACAACACUACCGAGCUGAAGUGGUUUGCGACGUAGUGGAUAUGAAUGCUAGUCACGUGUUAUUAGGACGACCAUGGCAGUUUGAUGAGGAUGCCACUUACAGAGGACGCGACAAUGAGUUUGUUUUCAACUGGGGAGGCAGGAAGAUUGCAUUGCUCCCAAAAUAAAAUUUAGGAAGUGGCGUAAGUAAGAACCAGAAAGAAGGGAAACCUUUACUAACGGUCAUCACGUCAGCGGCUGAUUUAGAGGUGGAAAUUAAAGAGGCACAAGAAGUACAUGUUGUAGUGGUACGAGCUUUAGUGGUUGAAGGAAAGGAAGAGCAUAAAAUUGAGUUGCCCGAUAAGGUACAGUCCCUAUUAGGCGAAUUCCGUGAGUUGGUGUCCGAAGAUUUACAAGAUGAACUUCCACCACUAAGGGAUAUUCAACAUCACAUCGAUCUAAUUCCAAGGGCGAGCUUACCCAAUUUACCACAUUAUCGGAUGAGUCCUAAGGAAAAUCAGAUCCUACAAGAGAUGGUGGAGGAAUUGUUGAAGAAUGGGUUCAUUAGAGAAAGCAUGAGUCUAUGUGUGGUUCCCGCAUUACUGGUCCCGAAGAAGGAUGGCAAUUGGAGAAUGUGUGUGGAUAGUCGAGCAAUCAACAAGAUAACUGUCAGAUACAGUUUUUCGAUUCUGAGGUUGGAUGACAUGUUAGACAUGUUGGAAGGUUCCAAGUUAUUCUCGAAGAUAGAUCUUCGGAGCGGAUAUCAUCAGAUUCGGAUUAAACCUGGAGAUGAAUGGAAAACUGCAUUCAAAACAAAGGAUGGACUUUACGAGUGGGUAGUCAUGCCGUUCGGAUUGUCCAAUGCGCCAAGUACUUUUAUACGACUUAUGAAUAAGGUAUUACGCUCUUUCAUCGAGAAGUAUGUUGUUGUUUAUUUUGAUGAUAUACUGAUUUAUAGUCAGAACGAGGAAGUCCAUAUGAAACACCUUCGGACUGUGUUGGAGGUUUUGGCCAAAAAUAAACUAUUCAUUAACUUUAAAAAGUGUAGUUGGCUAGACGAACGCCUAUUAUUUCUUGGAUAUGUGGUUAGUUCGGAAGGUAUUAUGGUUUACGAAGAGAAGGUACGAGCUAUACGCGAUUGGCCGACUCCUAAGAACGUAGGAGAGGUGAGAAGUUUUCAUGGGUUAACAACAUUUUAUCGGCGAUUUAUUAAAGAUUUCAAUAGCAUUGUGGCACCCAUUACUGAGUGUUUAAAGAAAGGUAAAUUUUAGUGGGGAGAAGCAGCUGAUACAGCUUUUGAGUUUAUCAAGGAGAAGCUGUGUACUACUACUCUUAUGGCUCUACCAAGUUUUGAGAUGCUCUUCGAAGUGGAAUGUGAUGAUAGUGAUAUUGGAGUUGGAGCGGUUAUGUCGCAGGAGAAGAGACCGGUGGCAUUUUUCCAGCGAAAAACUCAAUAACGCAAGACGAAAGUGGAGUACAUAUGACCAAGAGUUUUAUGCCAUUAUUCGAGCUUUAAAACAUUGUGAACACUAGCUGAUUCAACGUGAGUUUAUUCUAUACAUUGAUCAUCAAGCAUUGAAGUACCUGAGCAUUCAGCGAAGUCUGAGUAAUAUGCACGCUCGAUGGGCAACCUUUUUGCAGAAGUUUCCUUUUGUCCUAAAACAAAAAUCGGGUGUUCUAAAUAAGGUAGUCGAUGCAUUGAGUAGACGUGCGAGUCUGUUAGUUAUUAUGCAGCAAAAGAUCAUCGGGUUUGAAUUUCUGAAAGAACUGUAUUCGGAUGAUGAAGACUUCGGCGAAGUAUGGGAGAUAUGUGUUCAUAAACACACGAAGGAAGAAUUUUAUGUGGUUGAAGGCUACCUGUUUCGUGGGAAUCAGUUAUGUAUACCUCGGGGUUCGUUGAGAGAGAAAUUGGUACGGGAACUACAUGGGGGAAGUUUGAGUGGUCAUCUAGGACGUGACAAGACCAUCAGUGGUGUAGCCGAACGAUAUUAUUGGCCUUAGAUGAAGCACGAUAUAGGAAACUUGGUUCGCAAGUGCUAUGCGUGUCAGACUGCGAAGGUUCACACUCAGAAUACAGGCAUCUACAUGCCUCUACCUGUACCAAGUGCUAUUUGGGAGGAUCUGUUGAUGGAUUUUGUUCUAGGUCUUCCUCGGACUCAACGGGGAGUGGACUCUAUAUUUGUUGUGGUUGAUCGGUUCUCAAAGAUGGGACAUUUCAUUCCUUGUCGAAAGACGUCGGAUGCAUCCCAGGUGGCUCAGUUGUUCUUUCGGGAAGUCGUUCGUCUAUAUGGGGUUCCUCAAUCUAUUACUUCUAAUAGGGAUUCUAAGUUCCUUAGCCAUUUUUGGAUCACACUAUGGCGACGGAUGGAUACUACUCUAAAAUUCAGUAGCACUGCACAUCCACAGACUGAUGGAUAGACUGAAAAUCUGAACCGAACGUUGGGGAAUUUGAUUCGGAGUAUUUGUGGUGAUAAGCCGAAGUAGUGGGAUGUGGCGUUAGCUCAAAAGGAGUUCGCAUAUAAUAAUGCUACGUACUCACACUGCUACAGGUCAGUCUUUUUUUGCUUUAGUGUACCGGCAGACUCCCAAACAUGCGUUAGAUCUAGCACGUCUUCCCAAGGUUGCUGGGAAUAGUGUUGCUGCUGAAAACCUGGCUGAACAAGUUCGUGAUGUUCAGGCUGAAGUAAAACCUAGGAUGGAGGAGAAAAAUAAGAAGUAUAAAGCCGUUGUCGAUGCCAAGAAACGCUCGAAGUUAUUGGAAGAGGGUGAUCAGGUUAUUGUAUUUCUGCGAAAGGAAAGGUUUCCAGUCGGUACUUAUAAUAAGUGGAAGCCAAGAAAGUACGGUCCGUACAAAGUAAUCAAGAAGAUCAAUGAUAAUGCUGAUCGACUUACCUGCUAAGAUGAACAUAUCUCAUACUUUUAAUGUAUCUGACCUUUAUGAGUUAUGUGACGAUGUUCUACUUUAUCCAGAUUAUAACUCGAGGUCGAGUUCUUCGCAGGUGGGAAGGACUGAUGUAGGACAGCUAGCUUUGGAGUUUGAGGAGGAGUUAGAUAAGAAGCGGAAAAGGAUAAUCGGUCUGAGGAAACGGUCAUAAUUCCCGAAGACUGGAGUUGUUUCUGAAGAGCUGGGUUUGAUUGACUUCAGGAGAUGUCUUUGGGUAUGGAGACGGGUUCAAAAAUGGCGUCAUGGCUUCAGGAGGUCAGAACUUCUUUGGAAUUGGCGUCAUAACUUCGGAAAGGCUGGAUUAAUAAUAAUAAUUAUUAUUUAGUUCUUUUAUGGUAAUAGUAUUUUACUAGGUAGUAAGGUGGUGUUUGAUAAAACUGAGUGUUAAGACCUGAAUAAUUUAGACGUCUGAAUAAUAUAGAACAUCUGAAUAGAAUUGCGUCUGAAUGCAAAAAUGUUGUUUGAUAAUUAAUUUUUCUAAAAUGUCUGAAUAACAGUAUUUUUACCAUUUUAACCCUCUGAACAGUUUAAACAAAACCUGUUUGAUAAUCAGAAGGUCUGAAUAGUAUUUUAAAUACAUAUUUAUAAUAUUUUGACCACAAUAUGAUAAAAUAAAAAUGAAAACAUACAAAUUAAAUUAACUUCAAAGAUAGUAUCAUGUCCCAAAAAUAUCAACAUAGCAUAAUAAUUCAACCAUACAAAUUAAAAUAACUUCAAACAGUUGUUAAGAGUUGAAGUGCAAUUAUGGUUCUACGCCUUGAUCACCCCAUUAUGGUUCAUCUUGUCCCUCUUCGUUUCCUUCAUUUUGCUCCGCUUCAUCGUCAAACAUGUAGAUAGCAACCAUCACACUGAGUGUUGAUCUUCCAGCACAUACAAGAAACAACAAUUGCAAUAUGAAACCAUUCAAUAAAACUCUACACAUUUUCUCAAAAGAUAUACCACUGUUUUGUUACCCCCAAAAUAUACAUCUCUAAGUUCCCUGAUUCAUAUUCAAAAGAAGAGCAUCUCACCAGGAUAUUUGUAUUCCCUGAUUCAUAUUCAAAUUGUAGCUUCUCAUCAUCACUUUGAGCAUCAAUUGAUUGCAGGAUGAAACAUGUAACUGGAAUUACAUCCGAACGCUAAUGAUCAUCCAUAACAAUCUACAAUGAUUAAUAAGUAAUAUGAGAAAUGCCAUCAUAAAAUAUCAUACCAAGUGAAUUCCCUGUGUUACUGAAAAUGGGAAACAAAAUGGUCGUGAUGUAACCAAAUAGUUCACAGCAUUAAUUCCUUUCUGAACACUGAGAUUAAUUCUAUCUGCAAAAACGGCCUUAUAUCUGUUUGAUGAAAUCAUUCAAUGGAGAUGAAUAUUGCAGCAAGUAUCAAUAAACCACUCACAUAAAAAUCCCAAUAUGAAUAGGAGUAGUCCCAUUUUCUCAUUUAUUUUAGUUCAUUCUCCUAAAACUUAAAUAUCAAAUUUCAAAACAACCAAUCAAAUUGAAUAUAAUCAUUAGGACCAUAGAAUAACACAAAGCAUAUAUGCACAAAUAUUAAAAUAUAUAUAUAAUCAUAUAUAUAUAUAUAUAUAUAUAUAUAUGAAUUAUAAAAUUGAGUGUUGGCAACCAAAAGGGACUAGAAUACCAUCUGACGAAAUUGGUAAUUGCAUGACGAAAUUGGUAAUUGCAGAGCAUAUGCUCAGAAGGUUAUUUGAUGAUUCCGGCACCGGAAGAUCCUCCUAAAUGACCGAUUGGAAUUAGUGCUUUCAGCUUCAGGUGGCACUGAUUCGGUCGUUCAUUUCCGAGGAGGUAGUUCUCCAAAUCGUUUCCGUGGAAUAAGAAAUGGAACGGAAAUGAAGAGGAAGGCCGAGAAUGGUUCGUGGUGGGAAUUGAUAAUAACGAACGAAGAAGGGAGAGAAGAUUACCGGCGAAAGAAGACAAAGGAGCAGGAGCAAUUCAGCAAAGGAGAAAGAGCAGCAGCGAAUUACUGAAGGAGAAGAGGCGAUUUAGGUUGAUUGGGAAUAAAAAACGGAAGGGGUUAUUAUUGUCCCUAAAAAAAAUUCUCGCUCAGACAGCCUCUGAGCCUCUGGAUGCUAUAGAUUUAUUUUUGUGUCUCACUGAUUAAGAACUAUUAAGAAGCAAAAAAAUUUUUACCAAAGAAGAUUUGUCUCUGACCGAAUCAGAGACAAAUCCAUUAAGAGGUUAUCAAACAGAACCUAAAUCUUUAAUCAUUAAGUUAUUAUCUAUUAGGAUUUUAUUUCCGUAAUAAUAGAAAAUUUGUUAGAAUCUUUUUCGCAUCCCUAAGAAGAUUUUAUAUUUUUAUUUUCAAAAAUAUUCUAGAGUGAUUUGGAGAUAAAAUUUUAUUAAACUAUAUAAACCCGAUUUGUGGGUUGAGAGUAUAACACAUUCAUAUUAUCUUUUUCAAUUGAAAUUGUAUUAUUUUAUGGUGGAUUCCAGAUUAUGUUCUUAGAAUUUACGCUGGUAAUUCUCUUUUGCUUUCCGUUCUGCGUCAGAUAUACUACAACACAUAAAGUUGAGGGUCCUCAAAUCGAAACAUACAAACCGUGAGCUAAAAAGUGAGGAAACUAGAAAGAGGUGAAAAGGAUCGAAUGGAUUUGUAAGUAGAGAAGAAAGAUAAAAUAAAAGAAAAUAAAAAGUUGUUGAUGCUUACCUGAGGGAGAGAGGGGGAAGAUCAGACAGAUGGACAGGCGGGGAGCUUCUUUUGGCAGAUGAGCAUGGAGAGUUGUUGGGGGAAAUUGCCUCUACAUUUUUGCAAUUGGGGGAGAAUCAGAUUGGGAAAGAGGGGAAAACGUCAGCGUUUUCUUAUUCUAAACGUUGAAACAACGCCGUUUGGAAAUUUGGGAUCAGCUGCUAGUAAUGGUGUAAAUGAACCGAGUUGAGCCGAGUAUCGAGUUGUUUAGAUUUGGUUGACAAAAUUUUAUCGAGUAUAAAAUAAGAUUUGUUUGAGACUCGUUUAGCUACCGAGUCUCAAAUCGAGUCCGAACAAAUUGAACUUUUAGAACGAAUAUAAUCCAAGUAUCAAUAAAAAAUUACAAUUUGAGGAGGUUCGAGUAAUCUAUCGAAUUUUAAAAUUUGCUCAUAUUUAAAUAAUUUAUAUUUUGAGUCGAGCUCAAAUCGAACUUUUUAGUUGAAUGAGUACAAAUCGAACCUGAGCUGUUUGUUCACUUUACCGUCUUAGCUGCUAGUUGUCUUGUCUUGACGCUGAUGCCAAUUUAAUACACUUUGAUUAUCCCCGGAUGGAUAACUAGGGAGUACUCCCUUCGUUCCUUAAUAUAAAUUGUUUUAGAUAAAUAUUUUUGUUUCUUAAUAUAAGUUGUUUGAGAAUUUCAAGUAACUAUUAAUUACUUAGUUUUCAAUAUUCUGUCUAAUAAAUAACACUCUUUUUUCAAUAUAAGGGCAAUAUAGAUAAUUAAUAUUAUAUUUAAUACUUUAUAAUUAUUUUCUUUAUAAUUGUGCACAAUUAUAAAACGACUUAUAUUAAAAAAUGGAGGGACUACAAUAUAUUUUUACGCACUAAAUUUAUCAUAUAUCCAUCCGUCCGGUCUGGUCCGAUCCUUCUCACAUAUUAAUAUGAGAUUUAUUUAAGACAAAUUUAGUGAAUAUAGUAAAAUAUUAAUACCAUAUGUAUAUGUAACUGUGGGCAAGGAGGAGAAAAUCUCUCGAUCCCUCUAAGAUUUUGGUAAUUUUAAUUCAAUAAAAUGACAACCUUAAUUGGAUAAUUAACGAGUUGAAGCCCAAAAUGGAAAGUAAUAAAAAAAGGAAGUGAUUCAGUUUCUAAAAAUAAAAUAUAGUAACAACAUCCCUUUCAAUCUCAGUCGAGUUGGCUAUAGCCGAACAGAGCCUUCGUUUUUAAGGGCAAAAACUCUAUACGAACAUGAAUAUAUUUAAAUUUUAUUUAUUUAUAUUUUGGUCAUCAAUAAUUAAUAAAAAUAUAAAUAGAUAAAAAAGGCAGGCGAUGCAACCAAGCUCCAGCCUACAUUGACCAAUAGAUGAGUAGCAUCGGAUUGUACUUCUCUUUUUUUAUUGUAAUUUUGAAAAUUAAAAUAAAGUCAGAUCAUAAUUUGUAUUUUAAAAUUUCAUACAAAAAACCCAUCACAAAUCUUUCCCCUUGAUGAUGUACAACAAUCUUAUAAUAUCGAUAGCAGGCUGCGUUUCAAGCUAUAGGAUCUUUUUGAACUCCAGGGAGCAGCAAACUUCAGGCCAAACAUCUCCUUUGAAGUCUGCCAACAACCUUUAGCUACAACAGUGACACUGUCUCUGUACAAGUCCAUAGGCGGUUGGCUGCCUCUGCAUUAAUUGGUAGCUCAGCAAGUGUCUCUCAUGGCGCAGAGCCUUGAGGCUGUUAUAAAGGGAAACAACAUGUCAAUGAUCAAAACAAGCUUAGCAUUUAUUAACUCAGUAUUUAACGGAGCUUAGCGGUAUAUAAAAUAUAAAUACCAUAUGAAUGAUGCACUAUUGAUCUGUUGCCAAUCAGCAUGCAAAUGACAAGUAGAAACAAGAAUAAACAAGACCAGAAGUAGCAACUGUUUUUGUUUUCAUUAAGAACAUACACCCGGCUCUGUCCAGAAGAAAGGGCAACGUUUUUCUUUGGAAAUUACAAACAAAACGGUACUGUUUUUUCCCUGUACAAAUGUAGUGUUAUUAUGCAAGCAUAUACAACUUAUACGCCAUCAUUAUACAGAAAGAUGUGGAGCAGUAAUGUAAUUUAACUGUUUUCCGUUUAUUAGUGAAACAGUAGUACACAGUGAAGUGGCAUGGUUGAAUUUCUACAAGCUAAGAAUCACCUAAAAAAUUGAAUUGGAACUUUUAAAAAUGUUUACAUAUAUUUCCCCAAAAGUAGUGAAAGUAAAGCUUGGAGAUUAAUAACUCCAACAUUAGCAGAACUUCCCAUUUUUAUUAUCUUCUUCAAGCUAUUGAAACAAGAAAUAUUAUCUUACCUAGAAGCAGGUGUGAGAGUCCGACCAUCUUCCAGAGUCUGACUGCCCAGAGAAAAUGUGUCCUUGAGGAAUGACAACCUCCGCAACUCUACCUCCAUGUAUAUAUUAUGGAGUCUGUUGGGUAACCUUGGAAUAACAAGAAGAAAUGUGUUCUAUGCACUAAUGACACAUUGCAAGCAUGCCAUAGUCCAAUUAUUUCUCUUUGGAGCCUCUUGAAUUCGGAGGGCCAAUUUGAGGACUUCUAAAACCAUCUUCCAUUGGAUCCAAGCCAACAUUCUUGACGCUCUUUAAGCGUCCAUUAGACAUUACUUUGGUCUCAUUUGCCUAUAAUGUUCGAGAACAAAACUAAUUAGAUUAAAGCAGCUAGAUAAAAAUAAUAAUAAAAAAACAAAAAAAAACUGAAGUUUUUAAAUAUAGAACUUAAAAAAUAUAGUAAUGCUCCCAUCUGUUGUGUCUCAGACAGCACACAUAAUUUCCAUUUAUAAAUUCGAUUCCUCAUGAAUUAUAUAAUCAAUUUCCACUCAACAACAGGAGUAUCUAAUGUUCCUUAUACACAUAUGUAGAGAUUUUGAUUAAGAUUAAAUAAAGAUAAUUAAGAUGUAUGCAUACAUACAUAUACAGGAAUAACCAUUAUAAGGUUGGCCUCCAAGAAGCUUAGACAGUCUAAGCAUAUUCUUUCUAACAUCUAUGACCAUGCUUUACGUAAUGAAAUGUCCUUCCCCAGAGAACAAGUUAUUGAUACAACAAAAGCUCGUAUAUCCCAACUUUUCUGGGGAAAAUAGCACAACAUUUAUUGCAAAUGCCUUAUCCCCUAUGAUGCAAGAAAACAUAAUUUCAGUUAUGCUAUUAAAUAUUUAGUCAUGAUACCCACAAUUCGAUGAUAAAAGAAACACUAGUAUCAAGGCCGCAACAAUGGCAGAAGCAACAUCAACAACUUAUACUGGUUGAAUUCUAAAAACACACUGUGGUAAGAACCAUAUGUAACAACCACUUCGGAUCAAUAAUUAACCAGUACAAGAAAGUAUGAUUCACAGUUUCUAAAAGUAUAUUUCAAAUCAACAAAGUUUCAGUUGAAAUCCAUCCCCAAAAAAGUGGGAUAAAGCCAUAUUUUUUCGCAAAAUGAGCCCACGGAUUUAGAAUCCGAUCUUAUGUACCAAUCAUCACAGAAGAUUUCAUUAUUGUGGCCUGAAGACAGAAAUAUUAUCAACAACUAUAGUUUUAUAGCACCAAUAUUACCCAUGCAAACGUGAAAACGUGAAGUAAAGAUGUAUGUUUUAUCAUUCAGGUAAAUUAACUCUUCACUAAAGACCUACUAAGAGAUGACAUCAUUAAACCAGACUCGAAACAGCUCUAACUGCCUAAGAGUUGAUCAGAAUACUCAAGAAAGUUGUAAUCAAGACGAUCAAAAUAACAUAAUCCUCUUUUUUCUUCAAAAUACAUUUCAUUCAACUAUGUGCUGUGCCAAUAAGAAAAAUGUGUAAGAAUGCAUACUGCAGCAGGAAACGUGAUAUUGAAAAACAUGUCUUUUGAUACAUUACUAAAGCCCAAGUUUCUUAAAAGAAAAUAAAGGAAAAAACCUCAAUAGGGAUCCUGAAUAAGAAAAAACCUACAAUUUUUAGAAAAACUUAAUCGCCAAUCAAAUUUUUUAUUUUCAGUUAGUACAAUCAAAAAAUUAAAUUCAGCAUAAGGAAGAAGACAAAACUUGAUAAAAACUUAUCCGGUCAACAAGAAGUUACAUGGGGCAAUCAGAUACUUAAUGAACAUCAACACAUAAUAUUUAAAGCAGAAAAACACUGGUGGAACAAAAGAUUACUCUUUAAGAAGCAACUUAAGCGAUUACGUGCUCAUGGAAGAAUUUACAUAUAGAGAAGCAUUUCGUAAGAUUGUUAGAACAAAAUUUUAGACUUAUUAAGGAAUCAUCUAAGUUACAUAUUAAGCUAUAACGUAUAAACAGUAGGACAAAAUGAGACAUUAGAAAAAUGUGGGUGCUCGCAUUUAAUGUUUGCUCUUCCUCGUUCCCCAAAAAUUAUACUCGAAAUUUAUCAAAACAUAAAAAAGCCCCACCAAAAGUUCAGUCUUUAGAGAACAAUGAAACAGUACAAGUGGAAUUUAUUUUUUUUACAAUUGGAAUAAUUAUGCUAUGAACUUCUGAAUGUUGGUACUAAUUGAGUAAAAAUGUAAUUAUAGAGUGAGAUACACAUUAAUAUCUUUGAUUAAAUAAAAGGAAAGCAAGCUGCCGACAUAAAUUAUCAAACAUUUGUCAAAAAAAGAAGAAGCAAGGAUUCAUCACUAUUAUCAUUGCACUCUACAAACUUUAAAAAUCAAACAGAUUUAAUAUAUUGCAAUACAACAAUUAAAGAAAAUUUCAUGAAUGGGGAUCCUAUAGAAAGAUAAACCAUUGUUGAACAAAUAACAUUUUGGAAACUACAAUUGAAUUUAAAGGUAAAUAGGUAAUUGGAGAAUCAACUGACAAAAUGGCAACAUAAUAGUAGUAGAUCAAGGCUGUUGCUGAGCAUCCAGAUAACCAGCAUCAACAAGCACUUUCUCUCUUUUAGCCAACUCAACAUCCUCAUCAACCAUCAUCUUCACCAACUGCUCAAACCCAACUUUUGGCUUCCACUGGAGAACUUUCCUCGCCUUACUAGAAUCCCCUUUCAAAUUAUCAACCUCAGUUGGCCUAAAAUACCUCUUAUCGAUCACCACAUGAUCCCUCCAUUUCAACCCAGCAUACGCAAAUGCUACCUCCAAAAACUCCUCCACUGUAUGAGACUCCUCCGUCGCCACCACAUAAUCGUCCGGCUUCUCCUGCUGCAGCAUCAUCCACAUUACCUCCACAUAAUCCCCCGCGAAUCCCCAAUCCCUCGAGGCCUGCAAGUUCCCCAAGAACAGCUUGCUCUGCAACCCGGUCUUGAUCCGGCCUACUGCCCGGGUGAUCUUCCGGGUCACAAAAUUCUCUCCUCUCCUUGGGGAUUCGUGAUUGAACAGAAUACCAUUGCAAGCAAAGAUCCCGUAAGCUUCCCGGUAAUUAACAGUGUACCAAUGGGCGGCGCAUUUGGAGGCAGCAUAUGGGGAUCUGGGGUGGAAGGGAGUGCUUUCGGAUUGGGGAGGUGGGGUGGAUCCGAACAUUUCCGAUGAUCCGGCCUGGUAGUACUUAAUCUGGGAGCGGCCUGUGGCGGCGAUGUGGGAUCGGACGGCUUCGAGGAGGCGGAGGGCGCCGGUGGCGACGACGUCGGCGGUGUAAUCUGGGAUUUCGAAGGAGACGGCGACGUGUGAUUGGGCAGCGAGGUUGUAGACCUCGUCCGGAAGUAGGGUAUCGAUCCAGCGGCGAAGGGAGGAGGCGUCGGUGAGGUCAGCGUAGUGGAGUUUCAUGUGGGCCUUGUGGGCGUUGUGGGGGUCGAUAUAGAUGUGGUUGAUGCGCUGGGUGUUGAAGUUUGAGGAACGCCGGAUCAGGCCAUGGACUUGGUAGCCUUUGUUGAGGAGGAAUUCUGUAAGAUAUGAGCCAUCUUGGCCAGUGAUCCCAGUGAUUAAGGCUACUUUGGGCUUGGGUUCGGCUCCGUUGGGGGUUGAUUCGGAUCUGUUUUCUGAUGCCAUUGUAAUGACCGACGCUGCUGAGAGAGACAGAGAGACGGGUUGGAUUUGAAUAUGUAUAGCAAAUAUUAAUGGUGGCUAAUUUACAUUUUUAUUUUAAGAGGUGAUUUAAAUUAUUUAAAUUCAUAAUUUUAAUUAUUCAGAAAUUUUUUUAAUAUAAAAUUAUAAAACGUUAAAUUGUAUUAAAAAGUAGACUGUUAAGAUGUUAAGACGUACUUAGACCUAAUCUAAAAACUGAAUAUGUAUAUUAUAAAUCUUUUAUUUUACUCGUUAAAUUAAAAAAGCCAAAUCUUAUUAUUUCACAUUUUGAAUUCUUUCCAUCCAAAUAGUUGUGUUCCUUGUUAUUUAUUCAUAUGGUUAUUUCAAAAUUAAAUCAUUCUAAUUUUUGACGGCUUAUUAUACUAUCUUUUAUUUUAAAGAGGAUUAUUAUUUUGAGCGUAAAAAUAUAAUUUUUUUAAUAUAAAAUACAAUGUAGGAUAAUACAAUCUUACUAUAUCUGUUUAACAAAAUAUAAUUGAUGUUAAUUUUUUUGCUCACUCUAAUAAUUUAUUUAGUCCGUUCAAAAUUUUAAAUAAAUUUCACUGUUCAUAUAUCGCCGAAAACACGGAAUUCAACUAGUAUAUAUAUAUAUAUAUAAAAUUUUAGCCGAAAAUAUCAAUACCCAGUACAGACCAUAACUUAUUAUCUGGACCAUUCCAAUCUUUAUCAUUUUUUAUAAAUUGCUUGCUAUGGGGCCCAAUGUCAACAGUUUGAGAAUUACAAAUAUUUUUGCUCAUCUUUUGUUAUUUUUUAACAAUAAUACUAGAGAUAAACUAUUCUACAAAUAUUUUAUAAACUAUUGAUAUGGCAUACUUCACCUCAACAUAUUGUGUGGGGACAAAAAUUACAUUGAAAUAAUUUAUUGAUCAAUAUACUGAGUAUGUCACGUCAGCAAUUUGUAAAAUAUUUGUAGAAUAGUUUGCGUAUGUAACAUUACUGAUCAUUUUUUUAAUGCACGCAUAAGUCAAUUAAACAUUAAUAUUUUCACCAUCAUUAAAUAUAUUCAAAUCAUUUAAGUUAUUUGGCAACAAGAAAAAAUCAUUUAAGUUAACCUUUUUAAUUGAAGUUAUUUAAAACAAAAUUACUAUUUUUCAACAAAAUCAUAUUCACAUGAAUGUCGGACAAAUUUAUUCUAAAAUAUGAAUGUAACUUUUGAUUGUCAGUUAAAAUAAUAUUAAAAAAAUAUUUGUUACACGUUAUGAUGGAUACCUAAACACAAAUUAUUGGUAUCUGAAUAAUGGUAAUAAAAAUGGUCAUUUUUUGGUAAUUGUUAUUACGAGUGUGUGUGGUAUGAACCCAAGAUUAGCUCAUAAUUAUAAUUAUAAGCUCAUAAUUUAAUUAAUUGUUUUCUAAAUAAAUAAUUACCCAAAUUCUUCUUUCAAUACCAAUGACGUGGCGCCAAUGGCCUAUAUAAUCCGCAAAAAUUCUAUGUGGAUAUAAAAAUUAGACAUGAAUAUUUUAUUUAAUUGUAUUUUGACCUCAAUAAUGAAUAAAAAUAUAAAUAGAUAAAAUUUAAAUAUACUCAUAUUCAAUUUUUAUGUCCAUCUAGAAGAGCUAUAUAAUUCGUGAGAAAUAUCAAAUGAACGAGGUAAAACAUAUUGAAUCCCCAAUAACAUUAUUCAAUGCAUGCCAUUGAAGAAGAAAUUAAGGUUGUGUGACUUGACACUUGACACUUGACACAGAGAACAGAAGUAAUUAAUGCAAUGCUAUAUAUAUAUAUAUAUAUAUAUAUAUAUAUAUAUAUAUAUAUGUUGGGCCAUAAUACUUUUNNNNNNNNNNNNNNNNNNNNNNNNNNNNNNNNNNNNNNNNNNNNNNNNNNNNNNNNNNNNNNNNNNNNNNNNNNNNNNNNNNNNNNNNNNNNNNNNNNNNGUUGGGUCUUUGGAGUGUUGGGUCGAACUGUUGAUCCAGUCCAUUGGGUAAAUAAUGUUUUUAUUUGGGCUUUGACCGGUGAUGAUGAGUGGGAUAAACAUUGACUGUUAUAAUUGAAAUUUAUUAAUGAGGAUGGGACAUAGUUGGCCGGCGAUAAAAAAUGGUGAUGGAAUUAGCAGGUAAGCUACUUGCAGUGGGAUGGUAUCAGGAUAGAUCGGCUACAUACAGGAUGAAUAUGGGAGUAUACGAGGACAAAACACGACACAAGAGAGGUAACUGAUAUUUUCUCUUAUCAAAACACUAGAGUUUAUCACCUCCAUUGUUAUCCUUAUAUAUGCCUGUAUUAACUCUCACGCCGGAACUAUCCCCCAACGGUCCAAGCCGUCAAGCUUCUGGUAUUGACCCGUUUACUGUGCAGGAUAGGACGCGUUUUUACGUGAUUGAGGCGCGUGGAAAGAUCUUGGCGUUAACAUUGGCGCUAGAAGGAGGGUUAUUUUCUAGUGUUUUUGAGUUUCAAUCACACAUAUCAACUGUUUUACAUCGGAAGUUAUGGUGAGGAGUAGGACAGUUACCCUUGAAGGACAGUCGAUGGUUGUGAGUUCGUCUGUACAACGAGUCUCUGUCAAGGAUCGGCUGGGUCCUUCAAAAAGUAUUCAUGACAGCACCGCAUCACGAGAUGUUUAAAAGGGUUCUCAUGCAAAGGUCCAUGGUGACAUCAAAAGAAGGUUAUUCUUUACUGCUGAUAAAGGACCUGACCAGGUCGGAGAAGGGUAGAAGGCACACCGCCAAGAACCCAACGUCGAGAUGGUCAGACCGAUAGAGCAUCCAAGUUGGCAAAGAUGGCAGAAGAAGCUGACAAAGCUUUAGAAGUUCUUUUGAAGCAGAGGGAAGAAAUUGCUGAACAGAUGGUUCAUAUGGCCGAAAUGAAGGAUGAAGCAUCAAGCUAUACUCAAUCCGAAGAGCGUGGCAGAUUCGUUGAGAGGAGAUCAAGAAAGGGAAAUGAACCUGUGCAUUUUGGAGAUAUGUCUCGAGGCCGUCCUCGAGACCGAAGAAGGUCAAGGAGCCAUACUUUUGAGGAUCCUAGAAGGGUACCUCACCCUAAGGGUUCUCGGGAUCAUGGUAGAAGCAAACGAAGGAGCAGGUCAAGAGGUUAUACACCCGAGAAUACAAAGAAGGCACUCCGCCUUGAGUAUUUUCGCCACAGCGAAAGGGCUCAGCACCGAAGCAGAUCUAGAAGCCGUACCCCUGAGAAUCCGAAGAGGGCACACCGCCCUACUGAUACUCAUCAGUGGAGAAGUCCAUCUAAAGCUGCAAGUUCAGACGAAAAAUGUAAGACCCCAACUUUUAUGAAUAAAGAUUAAUUUUUCUCGAAAUAUAUUUUUGAAUAUUAUGGUGUGGAUAUGAUAUAAUGUUAUAGUUGUGGGUAAUAUUUAUAAAUUUUACAAAGUAAGCAAGUUGUUAUAAAAUAUUCGAUUGGUCGGGGAAUAUUCGUUUUAAUAGGGAAUAUUCAUACGAUGACACAAUCAUUGGUGGACCCCACAAUAGAAGUAUUGUCAUAGUUAGAAAACGACAGGAUUAUCUUUUUAUAAAAAUAACGGCGAAAGUGUUACCAUUAAACUAUUGAAAUACCCGGUGGUAAAAGUAUAGUAAUACGCGUAGUUGCAUAGUAGCACACGGUAUUGAUUAUUGAUGCUUACGUGAGAAGUCAUUCAAUUAUACUCAAUUAUUGCUACAGUAAUUGCUGCAUCAUAUCUCUUAUAUUAUUGAUUCAAUUAUUGUCACAGUAUCAUCUGCAUAAUAUUUUAUAUUAUUAAAUCAAUAAUUGAGACGACAAAGUUAUUCAUAUUAUUAUUUGCAAUAUUGACGAUGUCGAGAAAGUUCUGUCGAGGAGAGGUUUGGUCACCUAAUUGCGCGUCAAUAGGGAGAAAUCCUUAUUGGAAAGCCCCCUCUUUCCUGGGAAUGAUCUGGUUGUUAAAUAUUGUGAGUUAUAAUAUUAAUGAUGAAUAAGUUUGUGUUGAUUAAAGAUGAACUUGAUAUUUUCAUUGUCUUGGGAUUAUUAGUGUUAGUGGAAAUCGAUAUUUAUUUCGAUAAUAAUUGAUUUCAAGAGGUUAUAUUGACCAAUCGGAUAAUUAAUCGAAUAAAUGAGCAAUUAAUUGCUAUUAAUUCACAUGCUUAUAACUAUUUAUUCACAUGUAUGUACUAUUGAUUCACAUGCAUGUACUAUUAGGGGAGGUGGUGCAAGAUUGAUAAUACUUGCAUGACUAAAUUAAAAAUGGAGGUAUAGAUGAAGGUACUAUACUGUAACUAUUUUUUCACAUGUAUAGAACUAUUGAUUCACAUGAAUGUAUUAUUGAUUCAAAUACAUGUACUAUUAGGGGAGGUGGUGCAAGUUUGAUAAUACUUGCAGGACUAUGUUAAAAAAGAAGGAAAAGAUGAAGGUAUUAUACUGUAAUAUUUCGAGCCCCAAAACGUGCAAUUAUCGAAACUAUAUUUUCCUAUAAAUAGAAGCUCAUUCUUCUUUCAUUCUCACCAAUUCACUAAGACUCACAAGAGCAAUUAUAGAGAGAGAAGCUAUAGAGAGAAAGAAGAAGAGAAGUUCGCUACUUCACUAUAUCAGUAUCCAGUCUUCUUCUGAAGUAACGGAUAUUAUUUUUUUUCAGUAUUCAUAAGAAAUAAUAUUUUUUCCAUACUCUGUAAUAUGUGAGUAAUAUUAUUUCAUUUCGUAUUCCUAAUUCUACACUCAUUCUGUUAAAGUAUUGCUUGUGACGCCCCCAAAAUAAGUAUACAUCACCCAUCUUGAGUCGCCAAAUACAUGGUACAGAAUACAAAUACAAACUUAAUUAUACAACCGUCGUGUAAUAUACGACAAAACAUAGCUGAGAGUUUAAAAAGGAAUGUUGCCUUCUAGACAAUAUCCACUCUCAAAUAGAGUCCUCAUUACAUAUAUUGUCACACUAUUUUACAGAAUAGUGAGGACUACUAAUACACCAUCUCGGACCAUCACUACGUUCUCUGAUUAGUCCCGACUACGCUCUCAUUUCCUGAAGAGAAUAAUGAAAGCAAAAGGGUAAGCUUAACUAACCCAGUAAGAAAUAUUAUGACUAAGAUAAUGCAGAAUAAAUUAUCAUUAGUCUUCAACAAUGUUAAACUGAUAAAAUACAAUAGACAUUAAGUUUAACUACAGCGGAAUAAGUAAUCCAUUAGAAGAGUCCAGUAGAGCAUGAUAUCUACUAUCUUCUAUGAUUUAAAAUGUUUUCAUCAAUUUUUAUCACUGAGACUCAGCUUAAUAAAUAAACCACAUCAUCGAGUCAUCCCUGCACUACGGGCCAAGGAUAUUCAUUAAAUCAUCAAUGGUCAUGACUAUACCGAAUAAUCCCUGGUUAUAUUCAUACCAAGUCCAUCUAUGCACGUAAGCCAAAGAUGACUUUCAUCACAAUAUAAGCAUGAGGAUGAUGACAAUGACAUAAUAAUUCAAUAAAACAAGUUCAAGAAUAAAUUUUAAAGAUUUAUAAGUUAAUGUAUCCUGAACUCAAUAAUGUCCAAAUUGUCAACAUGAUACUUCUUUGUGGAGUAAAAUUCAAGAAUGGUCAGAAGAAUAUUUCCAUGAAAAGAUACUGGAUAAAGCGCAAUAUCUAGGAUAUUCUACUAAUUUCAUGGAGUAUAGAAGCCAAAACUUUAACCAACUGAGUAUAAUAGAAUAUAUGAAAUUGCAAAUGGAUUUUCGCCCGCCAUGCGGUAAUUCACGUAGACAGAUCAUUUUCACAAUUUAAUAAGGAAUGAAUACAAAAGGAUCAUUCAUCAUGCAUGUGGUAAUCCACAUAGACAGGUUAUUCCAACAGAAUAAUAAAGAAUGGAAUAACAGAAGAAUUCACCAUGCAUGCGAUAGAUCGCACAGACAGGUUAUUCCCAACAGAAUAAUAAAGAAUGGAACCAGGUCAUGCGUAAUCCGCACAGACAUGAUGUUCCAACAGAAUAAUAAAGAAUGAAAUAACAACAGAAUUCACCAAGCAUGCAAUAGACCGCACAGACAGGUUGUUCCAACAGAAUAAUAAAUAAUGGAACCAGGUCAUGCGUAAUACGCACAGACAAGAUAUUCCAACAGAAUAAUAAAGAAUGGAAUAACAGAAGAAUUUCACCAUGUAUACGGUACUUCACAUAGACAGGUUAUUCCAACAUAAUAAUAAAGAAUGGAAUAACAGAAGAAUUUCACCAUGUAUGCGGUACUUCGCAUAGACAGGUUAUUCCUACAUAAUAAUAAAUAAUGGAAUAACAUAAGCUCUCUUCAUAAAUACGAAAUAAAUAAUACCCCUUACCUGAAAAAGAAGAGUAUUCUGAUGGGUAGGGCGGGGAUAUACUUGAAGAAAACUUGCACUAUUCUCUACGCUCAAAGCUUUCUUAAAACUCUAAAGAAAUACGCUCAAGAUUAUAAAAGAAGAAUUCUCUAAACUUCUGAUGUGAUUUUCAAUUCUAACUAAGCAUCUUAUGAGACGCCCCCAAAAUAGGUCCAUUCCAUCCAACCCAUUUUGAGUCGCCAAAUACAUGGUACAGAAACAACCACAACUUUUACAACUCAUAAGCUGUGAGUUUGAAUACAAACAUUGUCAUCUAGACAAUAUACAUACCCAACAUUGUCAUCUUGGUAAUUUUUUUGACCCACAUUUCUGCCAUGAUCGGAUCCGACUUUCCCUUAAAUUCUGGUGGUCCCAACUCCUUGAACUGCUUGGCUGUGACAGACCGCACGUUGUCAUCAUUUCCACCCGUACUUUGUACACGAGUCUCCCUUGUCUGAUUUUGCAUGAACUGCAAAAAGCUCCUAAACAUUCCAUCGUUCAUCGUUUGCUCGGUAGUGUUGUUUACAGGAGGAAUAUUGCCUUCCUGUUGCCCGUUCUCCUGGUUUGCGACUAAAGGUUGUUCCACCGUCUCAUAAACUCCAUUGUUAACGUUCUCAGCAGCCAUUCUUAAAUACUGCCAUAAAACAAGGGUUAAUUAAACAAAUUAACAUGUCACAUAAUAUCCCUAUAUUAUGACCUGACCAACAAAUAAGCUUAGGUAGGACACACUAGCGAAGGAUUUACUCGUCUCUCCCCUCCUAGUUCUAUUCCCCGAUCUCCGCCAGAGAUCAUAUCCCUAAGCUCUGAUACCAACUGUGACGCCCCCAAAAUAGGUAUACAACACCCAUUCUGAGUCGCCAAAAUACAUGGUAUAGAAAGCAAACUACAACUUUGACAAUA
rnacentral:lncRNA from 1 species